rnacentral:lncRNA from 1 species
CAGUGGCAGCUCACGCGGGUGCUCUGGCUGCACCACGUGUGCGUCCUUGGGCUAUACCCUAGCCUCUAACGGCUGUAGUAGGGGGCGCGAGUACCUAAUCAUCUCGGGUAGCAUGUGUCCUCACUGUUUAUGAGAGAAUAGAAGACAGAAGUUUAGAAUGGUGAUGUCAAAAUAUCGCACGACAAGGAAAUAAAUGAAGUGGAAUUUUCCUAACAGUUACAUAGCCUCUCAUAGAUAAGUACAGACGUCUCCUUACCGAUCAAUGAGACCCUAAUAAACCGGCUUGUGAUCCAUGACUCCUAUGAACCUAGUGUUCUGAUAUCAACUUAUCACGACCCCGGUUCGCCCUCCGUGAACCAUAUUGAUGGCACCUAGUCUUUACGACUAGGUAAGAUUAAUUUGCAGAAGAAAAACCCAAAUUUGCGAAAAUAAAUAAUUUAAAAUAGAAAUAAAGCAGUAAUAGUGUUUAAAUGUGUCGCUUGGCAUACACCAUGUUUAACUCUCAAUACCAAACAUAAAUCCAAAACUCAGAAACCUAUGAAUCACAAGCUAAGAUCAAUACUACAUAGCUCUAACUCUGGAAUGUCUAAUAAGAACAUGAAGGUAUAGAAGGGCUAAAUACUAAAAGCAGGAAUAGAAAGGGACUACUCGUUCUAUGGACGCGGCAGAUAUACCUCGAAGUCUCUAAAGUAGACGGCUCCCUCAAGGAUAGUAGACCUGAUCAGCGGUACCUGGAGCUGCACAUAAAAAACAUGCGCAGAAGAGGCAUGAGUACACCACAGCGGUACUCACUAAGUGCCAAGCCUAACCUUGGUUGGGUAGUGACGAGGAAGGUCAGAGCCCUACUGAGGUUAAAUAAAAUAUAAAGAUCAAUAGUAUAUAAUGCAAUAGUAUAAAUAAGUACAACAGUAAAAUAACACAAGAUGAACAGAACAACAACAACUAUACAGAACAAGGUAAAAGUGGAAAGGAAAUACAGCUCAGCACCAAUGUAACAAUCGGGGAUCUCCCAAGAUACCAUCCUGUAGUCCCAUCUUUACAUAUCCAGUGAAUCUCCAGGGAUACCGUCCCGUAGUCCAUCAUAUAUAUAUGUCUGAAGGAUCUCCCGAGAUCCCGUCCCGUAGUCCAACUCAUAGUGCGCGGCGAUCUACCAGAAUCCUGUUCCGUAUUCCCAAUUGUAAAUACCCAGUACUGGGGGAAUCUACCGGGUGCAUUCCUAUAGUUCCAUAUAACGGUGCAGGGGGAUCUACCGGGAAUCUAACCCGUACUCCCAAAGUAAAUGUGCAGGGGGAUCUACCGAGAAUCUAACCCGUAGUCCCAAAGCAAACAGACAAGGGGGAGCUACCGUAAUCUCACAACCAUAGUCCCAAAAUAAAUAAAGAACAACAGCUGGAAGGUAUACAACAAUUGCAAAAUUUUGUAUUAAGGCAAUAAGUGAUUUUAGUCUAGCAUGCUGCACUAAAUUCAAGUAAGGCAGGUUGAAUAAAUUAAAGCAAUUAAGUCACUUAGACAUGCUUUCCUAAUCUAACAACAGGCUUAAUAGUGCAAGAAAUAGAAAGAGGAAAGGAAACAUACUAGUAAUUACUUAAGAAAACCGUAAUUCCAACAAUUAGCACAAGUACGCACGCGUCACCUCAUGUACAAGGCAUUUCAAUUACCAAAUAUACCAAUCCUAAGAGGAAGGUCCCCCACACAAGGUUAGACAAGCCACUUACCUCGAACAUGCUCAAAAUCAACGCAACACCACAUUUUUGCCACGAGUACUCGACUCCAAAUGGCCCAAAUCUAUUCAAUUCAAUUGCAUAAUGUAAAUAGCACUUCAAGUAACUGAUUCUACAAUUAAAUUCUAAGCUAAUACGCAAAAUUAUGUAAAAUAACCAAAAUGCUCCUCGGGCCCACGUCUCGUAAACGAGUGAAAAUUUUCAGAAACCUCAUACUCUCACGAGUCUAUACAUAACAAGAACACUAAAAUCAGAGUCCAAAUGACCCCUCAAAUCCUCAUUUAAAGGCCUCUUAAACUCAAUCCCUAAUUACCCAUUUUUCCCAAAUUUCUCACCACCAAUUAGGUCUUUAAUCACAUAAAAAUGAGUUAUGAAGUCAAUGAUGUUAUCUCCAAGUGAUUCCCCUUUGUUUUCCUCAAAAAUCUCUUUUAAAAGCUUCAAAGCCGGAUGAAAAUGGUGAAAAGAUCCCUCAAAUUCGUAAAGGCAACUAUUUAUAUGUUCUGCCCAGAGAUUUUCCGCAUUUGCAGCCCUGAGACCGCAUCUGCGGUCCCGCUUCUGCGGAACAAGUGUCGCAUCUACGACUUUCACUUAAGGACCCAGCUUUCACAUCUACGGAACUCUAACUUCAAGAGUAGUUCCGCUUCUGCGGACAUCUCACCUCAUCUGCGGUUCUUGAGGGAAAUACCAAAUUUCGCUUUUGCGGUCCUCUUCCCCGGUUCUGUGGUCCCCAAACCGCAUAUGCGAAAAUACUAGAAGAACAGCUGUUGCAGCAACUUCAACCCCAAAAUUUCCUCCGUUAACCAUCCCAAUUCAUCCCGAGGCCCCCGGGACCUCAACCAAAGGCAUCAACAUAUCCUAAAACCUUAUUCAAACUUGCACAAAUCUUCAAAAUACUUCAAACAACAUCAAAACAACCAAAACACAUCAGAUUCAAGCCUAAGUUUAUAAAAUCUUUCAAACUCUGCUUUCGGUCAAAAACCCAACCAAAACACGUUCGAAGGACCUGAAAUUUUGCACACACAUCCCAAAUGACAUAACGGAACUACUGCAACGCUCGAAACUCCAUUCCAACCCUCCGAUCAAAAUCUUACUAUUGAACCGGAAACUUCCAAAAUUCAACUUUCGGCAUUUCAAGCCUAAAUUAGUUACAGACCUCCAAAACACAAUCUGAACAAGCUCCUAACCCUAAAAUCAUCCAACGGAGCUAACGGAACCAUCAGAUUUCCAUUCCAAGGUCAUCUUCACACUGUUCUGACUACGGUCAACUUUCCAACACUUAAGCUCUCAUUUAGGGACUAAGUGUCCCGAAAAUCAAAACUAAAUAUCCUGGCAAACCACAUUAGUAGAAAUAAACUUGGGGAAAGCAGUUAAUAGAGGAUCGGGGCAUUAAUUCUUAAAAUGACCGGUCGGGUCGUCACAGAUCAAAACAUAAGUCAAUAACAAUACCUCAUGGACAAAAAACCAUGAGAGUGUUUACCGCGAAAAUGGUAAUUACAAUUAGAUUUGAUUUUGUGGUUCUAAAAAUAUGUGAUCUAUUUUUAUGCUAGUUGUUAGGCAAUGGAUGCUAGGUGAAAGACUUGGAAACAAGAUAAUAUGUUGAAAACAAUGUGAUAAUCAAACCGAAUGGCUAAUAAUCGGGGACUCGAGACCCUGCAGAGAAUAGUCUACGGAGGACUAACAUGUAUGAUAAAUUCAAUGGCGGAUGUUUACCGUUAAAAUGGCAAUAAUAAUUAAAUUUUAUUUAGUGGUUCAAAAAAUACGUGAUCUAUUUUUAUAGUAGUUGUUAAGCAGUUGACGCUAUGUGAAAGAUUUAGAAAUGAGGUAAGAGCUUGAGAGCAAGGUGAUAACUAGACCGAAUGAUCAAUAAUCGGAGCCUCGAGCUUGCCUAUUCGAGGGCCUCGGGGUCGAGUCUGAAGCUCGGUUGGGAGCUGUCGAGAGGCAACUAACAGUUACUAUAAAUCAAUGACGGCCUUUUAUGGCCAAUAAUAAGCAAUAAAUGAUGAACAAUAAAUAGAACACAAUAAAUAUAAGCAAUAAAUAAAAUAAUGAGAUCAAGAGAAUAUGUUAGAGAGAAGAGAGAAUGUUCUUGUGUAUUUAGUAUUGAGCAACAGAUGUUUACAUAAUGACAAUGAUCCCCUAUAUAUAAGGGGGGAAUCACAAUAUAGUACAAAUGCAUUGAUUACAAAGAUAUGGGGCUGGUACAACCAUUUAAUGCCUUGAUUUGCUUUUCUUACUAAGUCCACUAGACUUGGCUAGCUAUAUGUACGCACCUUGGGAACUUCAACUUGAUCCGUCGAGACCACUAAGUCACACAACUUCGAAGUUGAUCACCGAGUACCCUCAGAGUUGACCACUGAAAACCCUCAGGAUGCCUUGAUGAUUGUAAAAUCGAACGGCCGAUUUCUACCGUAUACAAAUAGUCCCCGCAUUUCCUAGAACAAAGUGAUAGGAAACGAUUUUGAACUCCUACUCCUUAAGCAUCAUAAUCGUGACAUCAGCCCAUUAGAGCAUUGAAUUCCACAACUCAAAAGCCGCACAAGGGUCGCCGUCUAAGACGACUAUUGAGAAACCCAUAAACUGCUAUUGGUUCGUCCUUUCUGAUGUCCAUAUGACCUCUAUGAAUGCAUUAGUCGUUUGAUAAUUCACAUUUUUACAACAAAUUUAAGUUUUCAAAUCCAAAUUCAUCCCCUUUCACAUUCUUCCUUCUUCUGUGCUUGAUUCUCCGCCUACUUUCUCAGAAAGGCCCUUUCACUAUCAUGGCUAGAACUUCCAAAAUGGUUCCUUAGAAAGACGAGGAUACCAAUUCAUCUCGAACAUCCAAAAGAAAGCCCAAAGUGAUACCCACCAUUGAACAGUGUACCCCUGCUGAAUUCAGCACGACAAAUGAUUUUUCUAUCGAUAGACCCUCGUCUACACCGGGCCGGUAUGAACAUGUGUCCCAGUAUAUUAGUGUUGUGACUGACAUAGGGAAAGUGAAGAAAGACUGCUGAUAGAAGCAGACGGUGCUGGUUGAGAUCCCCCGCUCUAACGAGAGCAUAACGAAGCACAAGGCUGGUUUUCUUUAUUUAUAUACGAACCCAUUCACUUUGGGUACGGUUUAUUCUUCGAACCCUUCUUCCCCAAUGAUAAACUCGGUCAUUCUCGACUUAUGCGACAAGUAUGGGGUGACACUCGGCAAAAUCUAUCCCUCUUUCUGGAGGAUAGUCUACAUGCUCUACCACAUCUCCAAUGAGGUCGAGGGUGAGACCUGUACCCUCGACUAUUUGAUUAGAUUGUAUAGCCCUCGAUUUAAUAAGGGUUAGAUUAAGAUUCACCACUGGUCCAAAAAGUCAUUUUUCCCGAGCAUCGAUAAGGACAAAGAUCGAGGAUGGAUGAGCAGGUUCGUCCGAGUGCAGACCUCGGACAUCUUCCCUGCCGAAAAGAUCCCCUUCCCGGAGGAGUGGAACACACAGCGUAAAUACCUUUCCUUCGAACAAGCUUUAUGGUCUAUUUACGUUUAUCCAAAAAAUGAUCUCCUCUUAGUUUGUGCAGCUAACGUUUGGUAUCCUGAAGUGGUUCAGGAUCUUGCGGGAUGGAUUAGGCGGUUGGAUACCUCAUUCCCAUAUCUCGUAUGGUCUUGGCCUGACCUGGCCAAAACGCGGUGGGUGGCCAAGAAUCAUGGUAAAGUCCUUCUUGCCACCUAUAUCUUAUUUUUAUGCUUCCCUUCUGUAUCCUUUGUACUGAUAAAUUUUGGCCACUAUGUUUGCGCAGGUUUUGGCGAUGGAGUGCAGAUGAGACUACCUCCCAACGGCGAGGUGGAGACUUCGGAUCUUGUUAAGGAUAAGAAGAGGAAGAAUAAGGCUGUUGCUGAUUCUCCAACGGCCAAUAAACCUAAAUCACACAGGCCUCGAGCUGCCACUAGGACCUCGGCUUCAACUUCCAUAUGAAGUCCCAAUACUAGGGAUGAAGACGAUGAUGAGGACGAGUACCAUUUGGUACCAAGAACAAGGUCGGAUGCAGAUGUCCCGUAGGUGCCCCGACCAGAGGCUGUUGAAUCGGGAACAGUCGAUUCAGACCGAUCCCGUGUGAUAGAGACCCUCGAGGAGGGUGCGAAUGCGUUCCCCGAGCCCUUGACCGAGUUUGGUGCAGUUCCCAUUGCAGAGACCAUUGCUACUAGUUCCAAAGGUUCUGGGCUGGAGCUAUUCGGGGGCAGUAUUUUCCCCUUGGAGACAUCAAUGCCCUAGGUGACCUUAAUUUGGGCCCUCAGUUCUCGUCUGGGCAGUUAAGGGAUGCUUAGGACUCGAAUGCUGCCAAUGGGGGGGUUCCUCUCGAGGUUGGAGGUGCGCUUGGAAACUUCCUUGAUGACGUUGACGAUGCCAGCGAGGACAUCGAUCUCGAUGCUCCCAGCGCUAUCGAGGCAGCGAAGAAGUUCCAGCGGUAGGUGAUAGUUGUUCAUGUAUACUUUUCUAAUCUCAAGCAUUUUUCCUCGUUUUUCUAACUUUUCUGUUUCACCGUAGUCUAAGGAGAUAUAUGAUCACGCCCUCUCUAUGCUCCGAGAGGAGCUUUCAUGCCGUGGAAAGGAGCUCGAGAAACUCACCUCGGGACUGUAGGAGUCAGAGGCCUCCUCUGCCCGAAAGGACAAGGAGCUAAGCCAACUUCGGGUGAAUUUUGAGGGAGUGCUCCGAGAAAUGGUUGGCCUUGAUGAACAAGUAACUCGAUGUUCAUAAAGCCAUUCAUCGUUCCCAUAAUUCAAUGUUUACUUACUUAUCUUUUCCUCUGCAGAUCGGGAAGAAGAAUGCGGAGAUCCUUGAGUUGAGGAAGUGAAACGAGGUAGUGACCUUGGAAUUGGAAUUGACCUAGGGUCUUCUCCAAUGUGCUCAAAUAUAGAUUGGUGCGCUAUCUGCAGCCAAUUUCGAGGUCGAAGAAAAAGUCGCUACUUAUCCAAAGGACGCUGCCACUGUGAAUCAAAUACCCCAAAAUAUAUCAGUAGAGGCUGAGCAAAAAUUAAAUCGAACGGUCGCUCACGCAAGUGCAAAGGCGAAGAGAAGCCUUAGAGGAAGCCGGUGCUAAAGGUGCCGAUCUCUCAGCUGAGAUCGAGAAGGCCCGAGUGUCGGAGGAUGAAAUGGCACUCUUAGUCUUUUUGGACGAAGGUCCUAGAGAUGGUUCAGAGUGUAGUGGCGAUGAAGAGUAGGCCUGCGUCGCCUUUGCUUCGUUUUUUGCUUUUUGUGUAUGUAUUCCCGGCGAAACAAGUCUUGUAAAGAUGCCCCUUGUAAAUAUAUUUUUUGGCAAUGCAAGAGAAUUUUUUCUGUUUCAAGUCUUUCUAUUCUUUAUAUUUCAACGUUCAUGCAGAGUUAGCCUUCGAUUAUUGAUGUUGGCUUUAUGGAGCCCGUAUUUAGAGUAAUCGGGGAGCUCGAGAUCGGGUACCAUCUCAAAAUUGACCGAUAGAUCCGUUGGGGCUGAUGCUUACAAUAGUAGGGAAUCUCGGGGUCUAAAUACCCCCGAGGUGGUCCUGCCAGUACAUUUCCCAAAAAAUGUUGUUGUCAUGGCCAGACUUAAUUGGUCUUCUGGAUAGGCGAAUGGUCGUCGCUUGCCUUUAUAUAUGGAUUCGCUCAUUUCUCAACGGGAGAUUCUUCUAUUCUGGUUAAUCGUCCCUCUCAUAGAACUUUUUGUUUUUUGCCUUUAUCUAAAUCAUCAUCCUCCUCUUCCUAUUUUACCGCAGCAAUGGCUUCUACAUCGACAUCCACCCAUCAAGGAGAGGGGAGUUCUGCCUUUGUUUCGUGUCCAGUCAAUGGUAUACCAUCAGUACCCGAUAAGCAGGCCUCGAGGUUCUUUGUCUCGAGGAGAGACUUUACGUUGGAGAGACCUCCCAACAUUCAAGGUCAUCGAGAGCAUGCAUCGAGGUUCAUCUCUUCAAUACGGGGGGACAUCUCGAGAUGAUUAGGAAAGACUGCAGAUGGUGAGAAGGAGUGGUACUGCAGGAACCUUCCCUAGAGGAAAGCAUCAUGACCCAUGUCAAGGGGUUUUUGAGCAUACAUCUGUAUCUGGUUACCCUGGUGCAGGCUUACCCAUCACUUUGGAAGAUAAUAUUGAUGAUAAGGUACUUUGCGGAUAAGGCCGGGCUCGAAUUCACCCUUAGUCAUCUUGUUAGGUUAUAUCGGCCCCUACACUAUCGGGGCUUGUAUUUUUAUCGCUUUGUCCACAGAGGAGGCAAGCUCCAUAAAGGCAUCUUUUAUUUCAUUCUUUGUAGCGAUUCCUUGGUUACCGAACAAGGUCCCUAGUUAGGCUGAAUGGUCCCGUAAGCUGGCAGCUUGUUCGACCUAUGAUUAGCGCAUGUGGCGAGACCUGUCAAAGUGGAGAUGGGAGGCAAAGCAUCAUGGUAGGUAUUUACUGGCUUGCUUCCUCAGAAAGGUACUUUUUUUGGUGCACUAAUUCUACUGCCACAGGUGUUGGAGGUUUUUUUGAGAUGAGGCUGUGCCCCUUGGGGGAGGAGGAGAUAUUGCUGAACUCGGGGUCGAGGAUCGAUAAUAAACGGAAAAAGUCUCCGAGGUGUGAGGAUGCUCAUGGCGGGCUGAGUCCUUCUCUGAGGUUCAAAGGAGGCGAAGCCGGUCUUCCAGCUUCGGAGGCCUUUGUUUUUUGAAAGAAUAUUUCCCGUUCCCGUCAAAGAUACUUCGAGGGACAAGGGUCAUGCGACACCUUCCUCUUUUCCCACCGAAGGCGCUUCAGGGGACACUAGGGCAUCGAACGUUGGCUCAGCCUUUGGUGAGGCUCAAUGGCUUGGCUUUAUGGUAAGCUUUGGUAGCCGGUAUAGGCAUAUCUUGGUUUUGCUCCCUCCCUUUCUUAUUGAAUUUUCUAUUGCAGGCCUUUGACAAGAUUAUGUCCGAGCUGCUUUGCCAUGUGGCCAGGCUGCGGAAAGCUUUGGAGAGGGAGAAAACCCUUAGGCUCCUUUGUACGAAAAGGAAGGUGAGCUGGUAUACAUGCGGUGUGAGGUGGAUCGAAGUCGGAACUACAAAAGCCGUCUCGAAAGAUAGGUAACCUGCAGGUUAUGUUGAUGUAUGCUCCCCCUUUCAUUUUUAGAGAUUAAUAUUUUGAUAUUUCAGUUUGAGAGCAAAACGGAGGAGCUGGAACGACUUUAGGGUGAAGUUGUCCGGGUCAAUCGUGAGUUUAACUAGUUGAAGGCUCAGGUAGAUGCCCAAGUUGCGGCCAAGGAGGGUGCUUUGGCUAAGGCUUCUGCCCUCGAGGUGCAAAUAUGGAAGCUCAUGCGAAAGAUUUUGUCCGAGCAAAUAUCAUCACAAGGCUCGAGUCUGAGCUUUUGAAGGCGAAGGCCGAGGUUGUGAAUGCCCGGGGUGAGGCUAUAAUGAGCCGCACUAAGGCUGACCAGAAAGUGGCAGUCUAUUUGAAGGGUGCUGCUGAUGCUAGAGCUGAGCUGACGAAGGCUCUUGAUCGUGAGAGCAAUAAUAAAGAGUACAUGAGGUGUAAAUCUCGGAGGGAAACCCUCGAGGAAAUUCAUGCCAGGGGCUUCGACCUCUCGGAUGAGAUCAAGAAGGUGAAGGCCGAAGAAUGUGAUGCUAAAUUCCUUCUAUCCGAUGCCGUGGAUGCAAGGAUGGGGCCGUCGGGCCAUAGUCCCCAAGGGGGGCAUAUAUUUCCUUUUCUGUUUCUAUAUAUAGUACUUUCAAAGUAUGUUGUAAAUGGAGCUUGUUUUUUUCGCAUAUAUGUAUAAAGAGGAAACCUCACAGUUUUGUUUCUCUUGCAUUUCUUUUGCCUUGAUUUUGGCCAGAUGAACUGGUCUUUGAGUUGAGAGGAAUCCUUAGAUUCACGAUAUGGCCCUGGGGCUCAUUAGGCUAGCCCGUAGGCUCUUACGCGCUUGGUCAAUGCGGGCUUUAAGUAUAAGCUGGCGUUCGAACUCUUAUGCUUGUGCUCUUACGCAUGUUUGGUCAACUGUUUUAAGUUCAGUCUCAGAGUCAAGUAUCGACUCAAGCUCAUUCGACCAUCAAGUUUUUUGAAUUGCAAGUUGGCCCUUAGGUUUUUUGUUUACCGUAAAAAUGGUAACAACAAUUAAAUUUGUAAAAUGGGAUUCUAAAAAUAAGUAAUCUAUUUUUAUGCUGGUUGUUUAGAGUAGUUGAUGCUAAGAAUACGAAGUUUAAUGAUGAGAUACAAGCUAAAAAUGGGGUUGUAACAAACUGAGGGGCUUGCUGCCCGGGCUUCGAGCUGGUCGAUGUAGGGUCUUGUGGUCGAUAUCCGUCUCAGUCUCGAGCUAUCGGGGGUAUUCGGAAAUGGGAUAACAGUUAAGAUAUGAUCAAACAAGGCUCUUUAUUGCCAAGACCAAACAAUAAAUGAAGAACAAGUAAGAAACUGAUAAAUGCUAAAGUGGCCUCGAGUGAGUAAGUUAGAGAGAAGAAAGAGAGAGAGUUAUUAUUGAUAUUCUGUAUAGUAGUUGGAGCUUUACCUUACAGAGUGUUAAUGACUCCUUUUUUAUUAGAAGGGGGGAGCUCAAACUUAGCAAAAGAUACGUUGAGUGAUAAAAGAAAUGGAAUGGGACAGAUAACUAGCUUCAUGACGUAUAUGUGGGCCAAUGUUAGGCUUCCCAAAUAGACUUAAUCGACUCCGGAUGCAUUCUUCAGGAGCUUCCCGUGUUCGUCGGGGUUUCGGUCGAUGUUAUCCUCGACUGGGUGUCAACAUGUCUUGAGGGAAGUAACCGACUCGAGGUCUCGAACUUCCGAGGCGACCUACUGAAGCAAUUUGUCAAAGAGAAAUCGGUCCUCCAAUUUCACCGUGCACAGAUAGUCUCCGCGUUUCUUUGAGGGAAGCGAUAAGAAAUGAUUUUGACAUCCCACUUCACGGGCUCCUGUAAUGACGUCGGGAUGAUGGCGCAAUCCCUUUUACAAGUCCCGAGUCAUUUUACCCUUUCACUCUUUGGGGUCAUCCGAUGUGUCAUGACUCCUCGUUCUUUAGGGCCACAAUAUUGCCAUCGAUUCAGCUUCCAUGAACGCAUUGAUUACGCAUGUUGUUAUGCUUUUUGAGGGCGAUAAUGGUGUUGUCGGUUACUUUGCCCCCCUAUAAAUGGGGCUUCUUGUGAUCAAUUUUUCAUCCAAGCAUUCUUUGAUACCCCAUCCUUUCCUCCUUUCUUGCUAUUUUUAGUCUUUGUCGUCUCGCCAUGUUUGAGGCCCACGUCCUCAAGGUCUCAUGUCAACGUCAUGCGUGCUAUGGCCCAACUCUCGAUCCUUCUUCGGUUGGAUGAAGAUGUGCUGCUGUGAUGCUAUUGUUGUUGUUGUUGUUGUCGUUGCUGUCUCCGUUGGCUUGGGGAGAUGAAGUAGAGGGCGGAUUUUCUCCAACCCCGGGAGAUACUUGGAUUAUGCACCACUGCUGAAGAGGGGGCUCGGAUUAUACACCGCUGCUCACCCUCCUUCCUCGGCUUGGCGUGUUACAUCCCCUUUGGAUUCCUGGGGGUAUGGCAAUAGUCUCUACUGGUUGUUGCCUCUCGGGCUAAGGCAACAUCUCAAGAAGUGGCCUUACAAUGGUAGAACUGGCGGAGUUUGUACUAGCCAAAAUAUUCACCCAGCCACUUCUUGUCUUCUUCCGGCUUCUUCUUUGUCAUUUUUCUUUUCUCCCUAACUUUCAUCUUUUAUAUCCUUCCUUUUGAAGAUGCAAUUCCAGGAGGAUCGAGAUAAGGUCCCGGAGGGGAUUAGACUUGGAAGAUAUUGUCUUUGAGGUCACACGCCUGAGGAGAUGAUGUCGGAGACGCCGCACUUUGAGAAUAGGCUAGUUUCUUAGACUCUUGUUGCAUGCAUGCCCUUUAACUUCUUUAUUUCGGUGUAAGGAUCCCCCUUCGGGCUUUGAUAAACAUAUGCAAGGAUCCCACGAGGGCCAUUGUAAGCGAACAUUUUAUGAAUACAAAGAUAUUUCAUUGACUCCUGCCUUUGAUACUUGCUGCAUUUCUUUAUAUUUGUGGAAGCUCUUAAUGCACGAUCAUGUUUUGUCGUUGCUAACACUAAACUCGGAUGUGAGUAUUCCUUCCGGCCUUCGGUUGAUAGAAACAUCUUCGUGGGGGGCCUUACGCGAUUCCUAGGACUGAACCCGAAUAAGGCCAAUAACCUUGGACCGCAAGGACCCUGACUUUGCGUGGAAGCGAGGAUAAUCUUUUGGGCCUCAUAAUGACCUUUGAGAAGAAAUUUGAUCGAGGACCCGUGGAUGGGGGAUGCUGGUGAUUUCCUGAAAGUAGCCCCUGAGCGGAGGCUCGCUCGCACUCGGACCAUCCUAGACAGCACUCGGAGCCUGGUUCGUACGGGUGACGUUCAAAAAUGCUUAUUUCUUUACAGACUGGUUUCCCUUGGCAGAGAUCUUCGAAGUUGCGUGCCACCCUUGUGUUGGUGAAGUCAUUGUUGGCUUGCUAGAGCGCCGCCUUACUAUGACGGAGGUCUUCAAGAUCGGGUAUCGCCUCGAGGCUGGAGAUAGUGCUAUUGGUUGGCGCCUUCGGUUGGCUUCGAAUUGUCGAUGCUCUUCCAAUGUAUGACAUGAGGCUGUUUCCGCCCUCCUAGGAGUUAUCCUAUCUCAUGCAGUUGCCAUUUUCUGCGCCAUGUUUCUGGUAUCAACACAUUUGUACGUCUUUCCGCCCUUUAGUCUUUCAACUUUGCGACUGCUAUGGCGACAAUGACGAGAUUAAUCUGACCGGAGGGAGGGGGGAAAGCUCCCCCUCCGUUUUUCGGGGUCAUCGGGGUUUGAUGACUCUAUGGUGCCGGUUGAUCAUGUCCUUAAUCGUUGUUGUUGGGGAUGGAAGAAACCGGACAUGGACAAGUUGCUCUGCUCGGGUGCUGACCAUUGGUAUUAUACCUUAGGAAAUCGUAUUAUUUUCUUUGAAAAUGGAGCAAUAUUAUUUAGGCGGCGCGCCCCGUGCUUUGCCAGUUCUUCCUAUGGUGAGAGCGAACUUAGUAACUGUGUCUUCCUUCUUCCAUUAUAUUUAUUCAGGCGUUGUUGGUAUCAGAUAGUCCCCUAGGGGCGAGGUUGUGCUCCUUCAUAGAGGAGGAGGAGUUGUAGGCUUCCGAUCCAUAGGGAGAUGGCGAUAAAUGGGAUAUGCACUCGUAGUGCGAUGGAGCUUUUAGAGGGCUAAAUGGGUCCGUGUCUCCGGUGAGAGAACAUCGUCCGAGCCUGCUGUUCUUUACAUUUUUGAUUCCGGAGCGGUGGUUCCUCCGAGUGAUCAUGAUUCAACCGAAAUCAUUUCUUUUCAAGGCCGAGGGGGCUAGGCCAGCAGGAAUGUGCUUCGGCUUUCGUGGAAGUCCGCCGGCUUUACUUCACGGUGAGCUUUGGCACAGUUAUUACUCAUCUCGUGUCUUCAUUCCUUAUCAAGUUUUCCCUCUGUAUAACUUUGAUAGGCUCAGGUUUGAGCUCCCCCGCCAUGGGGCUAGACCUUGGAGAGCUCUAGAUGAGGGUAAGUCCCUUAGGCUCUUUAGCAUGGAGAAGGAAGUUGAGUUGAUGCAUUGGCGAUAUGAGGUGUAUCGGAUCUCGAAUUACGAGAGCUAUUUGAUGGGGCAGGUGACCUCUCGUAAUAAGCAUUUUGCUUUUUUAACCUUUAAGGUUAGGAUUUUGCUUAUUUUUUAGUUGCAAAAAAAAAGACGAAGGCUUAGGAGUACCUUAGGGGCGAAGACGAUCGAGUUAAGAAUACUUGUGGUGAACUGAGGGCUCGGGUGCAGGCUCAAGCUUUGAUUCGAGUGGAUAUGAUCGCGAAGUUGGAGUCUGAUCCCUCGAAGGUCUGGUUUGAAAUAAUUGAUGCUCGGACUGAAGCAACGUUGAGUCGGACCAAGGUUGAUGAGGAAAUGGUGAUCCAUUUGAAGGACGUCACUGAUGUCCGAGCUGAGUUGGAGUGGGCCCUCGAUCGUGAGAAAAGGAUCGAGGGAUACGUUCAUUGUGGAUCCCGAUGAGAGGUGCCUGAAGAGAUUAGCUCCAGGGGUUUUGUCCUCGUGGAAGAGUUUGAGUGAAGCUGGGGCUGGUAGGUCGUAAGCUUCUGGAUUGAAGCGUAGAUUUUGCCACUUUGUAUUUGUUGUUCGUAGAGCAUGUUUGUAGAUGGAGACCGCACCUUUUGCGCUUGUAAAAAGAAAAGAAACUUGAAGCUUUAUCUCCUUUGUAUCUCCCUCUGUAUUGCUUACGACUAGGUGGGCUGGUUUCGGAGCUCGUCAGGCAGGCCCGGGGGCUCUUGUACUCUCGAUAGACGUGGCAUUUAGUGCGAGCUAGCGUUAUAGCUCUUAUGCUUUGCCAAGCUGUCUUGAGUUGAGUCUCCGAUUCAGGUUUUUGACCCGAGCUUACUUGACCUUUGAUCUCCAACGCUUGCAUGGGCGACAACGACUCAUAUGCCUUGCCCCUUGGGUAUUUACUUCCUAACUACUUUGGGUUCAGUCUCCGAGUCAGGUUGUGACUCGUGCUUACUGACACUAAAAGAUUUUAUGUGCCUGUAUGGGUGAACGACAAUGGAUCUUAUGCCUUGGGUCGAAGCGACCUUUUAAGUAUAUGGCCUUGAGGCCCGUUUGGCUGGUGACAAUGGCACUUACGUCGUGCCCUUAGGCAUGUGCAGUUAACUAGAUCCAGUCUCCGAAUCGGGUUGGGACUCAAGCUCAUUUUAAUCCUCAAGUUUUCAAUUUGCAAGCUGGCAACAGUGGCUCUUACGCUAUUGGUCGUUGCGACCUUUUAGUGUGCGGCCCGGAGGUGCAUUUGGAUGGAGACAUUGGCACUUACGCUUUUGCUCGUGGGCAUAUUGUAGGCUUUGUUUUCCUCUCGUUAAGGUCUUUUUGAAAUAAUUUUGCCUGACCCGUUGUGGGUUCAGGAACAACCUCGAUUUCAAGUCGUUAGCGGCGAUGUUUGAGCACUUCGGAAGGUUUUUACCACGUAGGCUGAGUAGCUCGAAGCCUUGUGAUUUGGAGUUGACAUGGUCGAAGCUCGUUUGCCUGUUGAGGGAAGCCUGUUUUAACUGGUUCUUUUUGAAGUAGAUUUGAAGUAAUAGUCUGUGCUUUUGUUAGCGACAGUCGGGCAUCCCCGAGUCGUGUUAAUUUGGCUGGUGCAGCCAUUUUGACCGUAGUAAUAUGUGUUUGGCCAGAGCCAUUUUUAAUCCCUAACGAUAGUUUAGGCAUCUACACCGAGGGUAUGCCCUUUCGAGAAUCUUACAAAUGUGACGUAUAUCCUAAACUUCGGGAUUGAGUUUUAUGCCUGUAGUAAGGUCGUACAAAAUUUUCGUGCCUGUUGAGAUCUUACAGUUUGUCAUGUCUGUUGAGGUCUUACAGUUUGGUUGCUAUGUAAAAUAGAUCUGGCUAGACCAAGUCUGCCCACUCGGGGUCUUACGGCCUCAGGUUUUCCAGUGUAUGGCAAGCGACGACAGUCUCCGAGUCAUCGAGUUUGCUUAGGCUUGAAUACCAUUAUUUGUGAGCCCGGAGUUGCCUUGUUGGGGCCAUAUGAGCCCGGAGUUCCGACCCUGGGGUCGCGCGGGUGUCAAAUUGUUGACGCUAAGUCUCCCAUAAUUUUGGGACGCAUUCAGUGGAGGGAACCCUACUGUGAGCAUGCUGAACUUUCUUUUUGGAGCAUGAGGUGCUUUUGGUGACAGAUACCCAUUGAUCUAUUGACGUAAAUACGUGUUGUUGUGUUGAAUAGUUCUUUGCUAGACCGAGUUUGCUCGCUCGGGUUCUUAUGGCCUUAGGUUUUUAGGUGCAUGGCGACCGGUGGUAGUCUUUGAGUACUCAAGGUAACUUUGAUUUUGCUGACGCUCGGCGAUUUCUGUAUUGCCUUACCUAAAGGUUCCGUGAUUUCGGAGUUUCGACCCGGAGGCCGUCUGAGCAUUGAAUUGCUGGCGUCAGUCCCCGAGUGUUUGGGACAUUUCCGGUGAAAGAAUUGUUACCUUACUUUGCGAAGGUGUAUUUGACAAAAGGUAUUCUUUGAUUGCUUGGUACAAUAGUACAUGUAUUUGCCGGCGGGCGCCUGACUAUAUGGACACGUUUCUUUCGACCGUUUGGCCUAGUACAUUACUUUCCUACAGGAACCCUAUUUGGCGUUUCAAGACCUUUUCGAGUGGGUAGCUUUCUGUGUGAAUGCCCCUCACUGUUCAAAGUUGUUUUCAACUUGCACAGUUUUCCUUGAGCAGCUCGCAGAUGUUGCCUCAUUAAAAACCUUGCCGGUAAAACCCUUCUUUUGGGACAAAAACUCAGUCGAAGGAAAAGAGUGCAACAGGUGCAUUUUUAGAUUUUUGAGGUCUUCAAGCAAUGUUAGCGUUAUGACAGUUCCGGUCAGGUGCCUACAUAAGGGUUAGUUCUAAAUUUGAAACAAAAAAGGAGAUGGUCAUACCUUGAAGUGAGAUAUGUUGGCGAUGCCUCGGGAUUGAUUUGUUAUAAUUGCUUGAGGUGAAACGAGGUAUGGAUUCCUACUUCGUUUUGUCAAGUUCGAUCGAGGGUGAGGCCCAAUUCGCCCUUUGGUUUAUUCGGGGUGGAGGUACGAAUGUUGGUACCAUGUCGUGUAUUUUGAACAUUUCCCUUGCCACGUACUAUUCCCCGUAGACUGUUUUAAUUCCGUCCUUUAUUGGGAAUUUUACUAUCUAGUGAAGGGUGGAUGGCAAUGCUCACAUGUAGUGUAUCCACGACCGCCCGAAUAAGGCGUUAUACCUCAUGUCUCCCUCAAUGACAUGGAAUUUGGUCUCUUGGGUAGUGCCGACCACGGUAACCGGGAGGAUGAUUUCUCCUUUCGUCAUUUCGCUUGCCAUGAUGAAUCCGUUGAGGACCAGAGUGGUGGGCACGAUUUGGUUGAGCAGUCCAAGUUGUUCUAUUACCCUCGACCUGACAAUAUUGGCCGAGCUACCUAGAUCCACGAGUACACAUUUUAUCUGAAAAGAAUUUACAAGGAAGGAAAUUACCAGGGCAUCGUUGUGGGGUUGAGACAGGGUCUCGGUGUCUUCUUUGCUGAACAUGAGGGCAUCUUCGGGGAUAUAUCCUCGAGUCCGCAUUUCUCUGGUGAUGUAUAUUUUUGUUCUUCUCAUUACGGGUUCCUGCAGGGCAUCUGCGCCCCCAUGAUCAUAUGGAUGACAUGUUGCGGUUCAUUUGCCUUGUUCUUCUUGGUUGCCUCCCUUUAUCGGAACUGGUUUUUGGCUCGAUCGCUAAGGAAUUCCCGGAGAUUUCCUUUGUUAAGUAAUCGAGCUACCUCCUCUUAUAGAUGAUUACAAUCAUCGGUCCUAUGGCCGUGCGUGUUGUGAAACUCGUAGACUAGGUUGUAAUUCCUCUGCGAAGGAUCUGACUGUAUCAGUUUGGGCCACUUGGCAUCUAUGAUCUUACUGAUAGUGAACACAAUGUUUGACACAUCGAUGUUGAAGUUGUAUUCUGACAGGUGGGGCUUACCCAUUAGCACUACAUUUCGAUCAAACCUGGUUUAGUUGAUGAGCCCUCGAGGAUCCUUUCCUCGAUCUACCCUCCGAUCACUACGAGGUAGGUUGCACCUCGGGGCAUUCCUCCUAUCCUCAAGGUAUAGCUGAUACCUUUCUUUGUUUGGUUUCGGUUCCUUUGCCAGGAGCCUGCUUGGGUAUACUGAGCCCAAAGGGGUUCCCAACUAGUCAUCCUCAGCUCUAAUGUUCGACUGAUACCGGUUGUGGACGUCCGACUAGGUUACGGCCGGAUACUCGAUCAGGUUCUGUUUUACCUAUUUUGAAGCCACCAAGCUUUAUUCGUUCAGGCCUUAGGUGAAGCCUGUACUGCCCAGUCAUCGGAGACUGGCGGUAGCUCCAUCUGUUCCAUCUAAAAGCGGGACACGAAUUCCCGCAGCAUCUUGUUUUCUCUUUGCUUGAUUUUGAAAACAUCAGAUUUCCUUUUUUCUACCUUGAUGGCUCCGGCAUGUGCCUUUACGAAGGAGUCUGCUAGCAUGGUGAAUGAAUCUAUGGAAUUAGGAGCCAAGUUGUGAUACCACAUCAUGGCCCCCUUCGAGAGUGUUUUCCCAUAUUUUUUCAGCAAUACGGACUCGAUCUCGUCAUUCUUUAUAUCGUUACCUUUUACUGUGCAGCUGUAGGCAGUAACAUGUUCAUUAGGGUCGGUGGUACCGUUGUACUUAAGGAGUUCUAGCAUUCUGAACUUCUUUGGAAUGGGCUUCGGGGCUGCUUCCUCGGGGAACGACCUUUGUAUGAACUUCUUCGAAUCCACGCCUUUGAGGACCAGGGGCGCACCCGGGAUUUGAUCGACCCUAGAGUUGUAGGUCUCGACCUUCUUAUCGUUGGCUGCUAUCAUUUUCUCACCCGAUUUGAUCCUUUUGGUGAGGUCCUCAAGCAUCUUUACUAUGGCAGGGUCUGCUACCUAUCCAUUAUUGCUUGAUCUCUCGGGUACUUGUUCGGUGGGGGGAGCUGUUUCCGGUGCUGCUGUGCUGGGAGGCUUCGGAUGGCUUUGUAACUGAGCGAUGGCCAACUGUUGUGCCUACAACAUAUCAAAAAUAACAUGAAGACAAACUUCUUGUUCUUCCCGAGUUGGGGGUUCUUUGGGCUUCCUGUCGUUCGCUAUGUUGUAUGCUCCUAUCGGUGUGUGAAGUUUCAUCGACCUGUUGUGCGUCCUGUGAAUCCGCAUCUGCUAGAAUUGGUCCGGGCGCAUUAUCGGGAUUCUGUGGUGGCUCACCGACAGUCAGAAUAGCCACGCCGUUUUCCCCAUGAUUUUUGAGGUUGUCGUUCUCGACUCUGCCAAAUAUUUUGACCUGAAAUCAAAGAUCUCGAGCAAGAAAAAAUGUGAAAGAUAACUUGUGUUUGUGUAAUGAAACUAGCAAGAAAAUAAUCACUAUUAUUUCUACUGUUUACCGUGAAAAUGGUAAGAACAAUUAAAUUUGUAAAACGGGACUCAAAAAAUCCGUGAUCUAUUUUUAUGCUAGUUGUUUAGAGAAGUUGAUGCUAAGAAUAUGAAGUUUAACGAUGUGAUACAAGAUAAAAAUGGGGUAGUAAUCAAACUGAGGGGCUUGCUUCCUAGGCUUCGAACUUUUCGAUGUAGGGCCUCAGGGUCGAUAUCCGGCUCGAUCUCGAUCUAUCAGUGGUAGUCGGGAAUGGGAUAACAUUUAAGAUAUGAUCAAACAAGGCUCUUUAUGGCCAAGACCAAGCAAUAAAUGAAGAACAAGUAAGAAAGCGAUAAAUACUAAAGUGGCCUCGAGUGAGUAGGUUAGAGAGAAGAAAGAGAGAGAGAUAUUAUUGAUAUUUUGUAGACUAGUUGGAGCUCUACCUUAUAGUGUGUUAACGACUCCCUUUUUAUAAGAAGGGGGGAGCCCCAACUUAAUACAAGAUACGUUGAGUGAUAAAAGAAAUGGGAUGGGACAGAUAACUAGCCUCAUGACGUAUGCGCAGGCCAAUGUUAGGCUGCCCAAAUAGAAUUAAUCGACUCCGGAUGCAUCCUUCGGGAGCUUCCCGUGUUCGUCGGGGUUUCGGCUGAUGUUAUCCUCGGCUGGGUAUCGACAAGUCUUGAGGGAAGUAAUCAGAUCGAGGUCCCGAGCCUCCGAGGCGACCUACUGAAGCAAUUUGUCAAUGAGAAAUCGGUCCUCCGAUUUCACUGUGCACACUCUUAUGCAUUGGGUCGGCGUGACCUCUGGUUUUAGUUCUGGCGACAGUAGCUCUUACGGGUUUGGUCGGUGCGACCUUUGAUUUUAGUUCUGGCGACAAUGGCUCUUACGCUUUUGCUCUUAGGCAUAUUUAGUUAACUGUUCUGGGUUCAGUCUCCGUAUCGGGUUUCAACUCGAGCUCAGUCGACCCUCAAUUUUUUCGAAUUUAGAGUUGUCCCUUAGGCUCUUACGCGUCGGGUCGGUACGACCUUCUGUGUGGGCUAGUGACAAUGGCUCUUACUCCUUAGGUCGAUGCCACUAUUUAUGUGGGAUGGCGAUAGUGGCUCUUACGCCUUAGUUUGAUGCGACCUUUUAUGUAGUCUUUAUUUUUCCCUCAAUGAGGAUUUAUUGAAAUAGUGUUUACCUGACUCUUCGAUGGUUUAAUAAAAAACCUUGAUUGUGAGUCAUUAUAUGGCAAUGAUCGAGCACCUCGGGAGGUUUGGCUCGGAGGCUGAGUAUAUCAAAGCCAGUGUUUAGGAGCUAACAUGGUCAAAGCUCUUUUGCCUAUGUCGAGGGUAGCCUAUUUAACCAGUUCUUUCCGAAGUAUAUUCGAAGUAAUUGAAGGCUUAUGAUUAAUAGCGACGAUCGAGCGUCCCCAAGUCGCAUUAGUUUGUUAUGUUUGGCUGGAGCCUUUAAGUCCCGAGUGAAGUAGUUUCGGCAUCUAUAUCGAGGGUAUGCCUUUUUAGGGGUCUUACAAGUUCAAUAUAUAGCCUAAACUUUGAGAUCGGGUUUAUGCCUUUAGUAAGGUCUUACAAGUUUUACAUGCCUUUGAGGUCUUACAGAUAUUGUUGUUGCCUUAUAUAGUUCUUACGAGACCGAGGCUACCCGCAUGUGGCCUUACGGCCUCGUGUUUGAUAAGCCAAUGGAGAUGGCGAUUGGCGGCAGUCCCCGAGUCAUCGAGGGUUUCUUGGAUCGUGAGACAUUACUUGUGAACUUGUUAUUACCUUAUUGAGAGCUUGCAAUUUUGGAGUUUCCGACCCAAAGGUCGUGUGGCCUUGAGUUUUUGAUGCCAGUCCUUGAGUGUUUGGGAUGUUUUCGGUUCUGCAGCUGCAUUGUGAUCUUGAUAUUGCCUUGUUGAGGGCUUACGAGUUAGGAGCUCUGACCCGGGGGUCGCAUCAUUUUAAGUUGUUGACGCCAGUCCCUGAGUGUUCGGGACGCUUUUGAUAGAGGAGCCAUUUUUGCAAAAAUACCAAGUUUUGUAGAAACGCAAAAUGCUUUUGGGAAGUAUUCUUUGAUUACUUGGUACAAGUAUACAUGUCUUUGUUGUUAAGGGAGCAGUUGUUCUAUAUGGACACGGUUCAUUUGACUGUUUGGUCCGGUACAUUAUUUUCCUAUCGAGCCCCUUUUGGCGUAUCUUGGCUUCUCCGAGUAGGUGACCUUCCAGGGGGAUGCCCCCCAAGUAUUCGAGGUUUAUUGCAAAAGAAGCCUUGGAUACUUGUUGAGUCUUCCUUAGGUAGCAUAUGGAUGUUGCGUCAUUAAAAACCUUACCGGUAAAAACUCUUUUUGGGAUAAAAACUCGGUCUAAGGAAAAGAGUGCAACGGAUGCUUUAAAACCUUUAGGUCUUCGAGCUGGGUUAACGCUUCGACUGUCUCAGUCGGUCAUCUGCAUUAAGGUGAGUACGAGGUGUAAAUUGAAAAGGGAGAUGGUUGUACCUUAGUGGCGAUGGCUUUGAACCUCAGCAGGCCUUCAGUUAUUUGCUCGAAGGACGCGGUACAACCCUUUGUUUGUUAUUCGGAAACAGUCAAGAAUAUGCCUUAUGGUCUCCGUGUUGAAUCCCUUGAGGGUUCAAGGGGUAGGCAUAAUUUAGUCAAGCAGUUCAAGCUGCUCUGUUGCCCUCGACCUGAUAAUAUUGGCCGAGCUACCUGGACUCACAAGCACAAGUUUAAUUCGAAAUGUAUCCACAAGAAAAAAAGUUACCAGUGCAUCGUUAUGGGGCUGAGAUAGAGCCUCAAAUUCGCUUUUUCCUAGUGAGGGAUGCUUUCGUUCGCCUGACCGUGGGUUACAGGGCACCGAUGUUUUUUUUAUUUUAAAAAUUGUAUGGGUCACAUGUUGCAGUUCAUUUGCUUCGUCCUUCUUGGUCGCCUCUCUUUCCCAAAAGUAAUUUUUUGCUCGGUCGCUAAGGAAUUCCCGGAGGUGACCUUUCCUAAGUAGUCGGGCUACCUCUUCCCGGAGUUGUCGACAAUUUUCAGUUUUGUGACCGUGUGUGUUAUGAAAUUCACAUAGUAAGUUAUGGUUCCUUUGUGAAGGAUCUGAUUGUACAGGUUUUGGCUACCUGGCGUCUGUGAUUUUAUUGAUGGCGAACAUGAUUUCUGAUAUAUCGACAUUGAGGUUGUACUCCGACAAGCCAGGCACCUCCAUCAGCCCUGCGUACCUAUCGAACCUAGCUCUGUUGACGAGUCCCUGAGGAUUCUGGCCUCGGUCCAUUCUUCGAUCAUUGCAGGGUAUGUUACACCUCGGGGUGUUUCUCCUGUCUUCGGUGUAUGGCUGGUACCUUUCUUUGUUGGGCUUUGGCUCCUUCGCCAGAAGCCUUCUUGGGUAUACCGAGCCCGAUGGGGCUCCUAGUUGGUUGUCCUCGACCCUGAUUUUCGAUUGAUAUUGAUUGUGAAUGUCCGACUAGGUUACAGCGGGAUAUUCAACCACAUUCUAUUUCAGUUGCUUCGAAGCCACCGAGCUUCAUUCAUUCAGACCUUGAGUAAGAGAUUGGUGGCAGUUCCAUUCAUUCCAUUUGAAAGCGAGAUACGAACUCUCACAACAUCUCAUUCUCCCUCUUCUUGAUCUUGAAUACGUCGGACUUCCUCGUUGCUACUUUGAUGGCACCGGCAUGUGCCUUUAUGAAAGAAUCUGUCGGCAUGGCAAAUGCGUCUAUGGAGUUAGGAGCUAGGUUGUGAUACCACAUCAUGGCCCUUUUUAGAGUGUUUCCCCAAACUUCUUUAGCAAGACGGACUCGAGUCAUCCUUUAGGUCGGUGCCCUUCACUACACAAGUGUAAGCAGUAACGUGCUCGUUGGGGUCUGAGGUUCCAUUGUAUUUCGGAAGAUCCAACAUUAUGAACUUCUUUGGAAUGGGUUUUGGAGCCGCUUCUUCAGGGAACAACCAUUGUAUGAACUUCCUCGAAUCUACACCUUUCAAGAUCGGAGGUGCACUCGGAAUUUGGUCGACCCUGGAGUUGUAGGUCUCUACCUUUUUAUCGUUGGUUUCUAUCUUCUUCUCGCCCGAUUUGAUCCUCUUUGUAAGAUCCUCGAGCAUCUUUACGAUGGUAGGGUCGGCUGCCGACCCGUUGUUGCUUGAUCUCUCUGGUACCUGCUCGGCUGGGGGAGAAGUCCCCGCAGCUACCGUGCUGGGAGUUAUCUGGUAACUUUGCAGCUGAGCAAUCGCUAGCUGUUGUGCCUGCAACAUUCAAAAAUAACAUGAAGGCUAAUCUCCGUUCUUCCCUAGAUGGGGUUUACUAAGCUUCUCGUUGGUCUCCUUGGUGCACGUUCCUGUUGAGCAUCGCGUGAGACCGUGUCCACGGGAAUUGGUUCUGGUACGUUCUUAGGGUUUCGCGGUGGCACACCAACACUUGAAACAUCCACACCAUUCUCUAUAUGGUUCUCGAGAUUGUUGUUCACUGAAUCAGACAUUUUGACCUGAAAUUAAAUAUCUUGGGCAAGAAAAAGUGUGAAAGAUAACUUGCGUUAUGUAGUAAAACCAACAAGAAAAUAAUCACUAUUAUUUUUAGCCCCACGGUGGGCACCAAACUGUUUACCGUGAAAAUGGUAAUAACAACUAAAUUUGAUUUAGUGGUUCUAAAAUUACAUGAACUAUUUUAUGCUAGUUGUUAAGCAGCUGACGCUGUGUGAAAGAUUUAGAAACGAGAUAAGAGCUUGAGAGCAAGGUGAUAACCAGACCGAAUGAUCAAUAAUCGGAACCUCAAGCUUGCCUAUUCGAGGGCCACGGGGUUGAGUCUGAAGAUCGGUUGGGAGUUGUCGAGGGGCAACUAACAGUUACGAUAAAUCAAUGGCAGCCCUUUAUGGCCAAUAAUAAGCAAUAAAUAGAACACAAUAAAUAUAAGCAAUAAAUGAUGUAAUGAGAUCAAGAGAAUAUGUUAGAGAUCAAAGAAAAUGUUCUUGUGUAUUUAGUAUUGAGCAACAGAUGUUUACAUAAUGACAAGGAUCCCCUUUAUAUAAGAGGGGGAAUCCCAACAUAGUACAAAUGCAUUGAUUACAAAGAUAUGGGGCUGGUAUAGCCAUUUAAUGCCUUGAUUCGCUUUUCUGACUAGUCCACUAGACUUGGCUAGCUAUAUGUACGUGCCUUGGGAACUUCAACUUGAUCCGUCUAUGAGCACGUGAUUUUUGCCCUAUAGGAAUUACUCCCAUAAAAUACAAGAAAAAUAAUUUUUCCCAUUAUUUGUAAUUUUAUAGAUUUUUCGUAGAGUUUUGUUAAUUGCUUGAAUUUUUGUGCACAUUUACUUUCCAUCAAAAAUCAUGAAAAAUACCAAAAUUAUCAUGCAUUGUAUUUAGGUUUGUUUUAUAUUUUUGGAAGUAAUUAGUAAUUAUUUCUUUUAUUAAAAAUGAAAAUCACAAAAAAGGUCCAUUUUACAUUUUUACCUUUUAAAUUGUUGAUUUUUCUCUUUUAACUUACGAUUGAAUGAUUUUUAUAAUUUUUAUAAUUUUAUAUUUAGUUUAAUUUUACAUUAGAUUAAUUUAGGUUUAAUUUGGGAUCUUUAUUAAUUAGGAAAAAAUAAAGAAAAAGAAAAUAAAAAGCAAAAGAAAAAGAAAGGAAGGAAUUAAUAAGAGGGUUUAAUGUGAAAUGUUGAAUUUGGGCCAUUUACACCCGCAUUUUCUCUAGAAGAAUCAAGACCAAACGUGCAGUCUACCCGGUCCGGCCCACUUUCACGAUUUGGUUCUUCAUCCCCUAAGACACUUGAAACGACGUAGUAUGGGGGCAAUACUAUGUCGUUUUGAGUUCAGUUGUUUUAAGUUAAUCCUGAACCCUCAAUGUUCUCUCAUCCAACGGCCUUGAAAGUUUUCCCCAUUUUGUUUAAAAAGUGUCCAUAACUCUCUAAAAAAUAACCUAGGACCCCUGUUCUAUCUUUUCUUUCACCACCGACCGCCGCCCACCGGAAAUUGCCAGUGGCGGCGGUUGAUCUCCAAAACCCCUCAAAUCUUGACCAUUUAACCACCGUUGCCCCUCCAUUCCAAAUCCACCCUCGUUUCCUCCCCCAAACUACUGGUCCUCUUCGAAUAAGAGAUCUAAGAUAGCAAUAAAAUCCUCUUCACCCUUUUUCUUUUGAUUUCUGCCCAAUCUAGCCUCUUCUUGGUGUUGAACACGUGUUAAUCGAGCAGCUUCGAGUGAAUAGCAAAUUGGCUGAGGGUUCGUUUGGUGCAUGGUGGCCGAGUUUGGUUAACAAUCUCCGAUGGGCCAUUCUUUCUAUUUCUUCUUCGUUCUUGACUCGUGAUGGGGACUGUGACAAAGAGCACAAGCCAUUGAAUAAAUUCUGGCUAGUGCUUAAUGUUACAAAUCACACCAUGGGUUGACGUUCUUCAGGCUGGAUGCCCUCACCUUUGAGCCAUCGAUCUAGACGGUAUACUUCUAUUCCUCUUCAUCUCAGUUGGGUUUAGAAAAACAUAGGUUUUUCAGUUUAUUAAUUGGGUAAUAAUAGGUUAAGAAGCACAGUUAAUCUCUUUGUUAGCAUUUGCUAGUUUUCUUCUUUCCUUUUACUUCUUCUCUUUUAGUCUGCUUCGUUAGAAGAUCUUAUUCAAAAUUUGGUUAGUUUGGACUUUCUUGUAAAUUCAUCUACUUAGACUUGAACCUGGGCUUGCUAGUGCAAGAAGCCCAAAGAGCUUGUUGAAGUUCGUUGGUGCAGAAGCCCAAAGAAAUGUUGGGGUUAGUCAAUUCAGAAGCCCAGAGGAAUUUUGGGCAUUUUUGUUCAAAUGACUCACAAGGCUAAGGUAAUUAGAAAGCAUAUAAAGGGUAGUUAGGGGAUUUAGUUAGAAAAAAUCUUUGAUAACUGUCUGGGAAGGUUCCGGGAAGGUGGGAAUUGGGUGGUUUAACAAACAUGCUUACAUCUCAGGGUCUGAAAUGAAAAGAUGAAAAUUGAAGAGGGGAGGGUAAUGAAUGAAUAAAAUUAUGUUUUGCUGCCCUAAACUCUAAUUAUAAAAGGGCUCACACCCAUCAUUUUCUGGCAGAGAUCAGAAUACCACUAGCUAGCAAACGGCUGAAAUACAUAUACACUGUUAGAGUUUUAGAUACAGAAAGAAAAAAAACAAAAAAAAAGAAAAAAUCUCCAAAUACAUUCCAUUGCAGCUGGUUUUGAUCUUUCUUAGUUUUUAAAAAAUCUUGAGUACAUUGGUGUUCUUUUUCUGGGUUCAAAAGAUGAGAAGCUGAUUGGUAGUUGUUGUUUGUUGCUGUUUUAAAGAUUUGCUGAUAUUACCAUUUCUUGCUGAAGUUCUGUGGUUUUUUUUGGUUUAUAUCCAGGUACUUAUUUUGAACCUUAAAUGUGAGCAUGUUUGUAUGGAAGGUGUACUCAUACUGAAAAUAAUGGGUCUUCACGUCGAUAUGUUUUGAUUUUUGACUCUAAAAUAGAAUCACGCUAUGUUGAAUCCUGCUGCCAAUUCAUUUGAGUAUUAAGUUUGAGAUUUUGUUUAAUUCUUCAUAGUUCUAUGGAUGUGCAGAUUCAUUUGUUUCUUCUUUCAUCUUAUUGGUAGUGUUGUUUGGAUUUUUACCAUCUGUAACCAUGGACUCUUUAAUGUUUCUCUAGCUUUAGCCACUGGACCCUCUGCUAUGAUUUGUUCUUUUGCCUUUGUUCUAUUUAUUUUUUGUAAUGAUAGUCAGGUGUAUAGAUUGUUGUCCUUUUCUUAAAAAAAACAAAGAAAAUUCGCUUUUCUUAAAAACAGUUGGUGCUAAAUAUACGGAUGAGUGAGUCGUGUGAAGGAAAAGGGGGUACUUGUUGUGCUUGUGCUAAAAUCUAUGUUUUAGUAUGGAAAUUAGAUUGUAAUUACUAUAAAGAUGUCCAUGUACUACUAAUAUUCACAAUUGAUGUACUAUUCUACUAUAAACGAGUUAGGAGGGGAAAUAAAGCCUAAAAGGGCCUUAAUGUGGAAGUCCUCUUUUGUUGAAGGUUAUUGGGCUAGCCUUGGCCCAUAUCCGGUGGUCUGUUUGAAGUCCUAUUCAAAAUGUUGUUUCAUGGUUUGCUUUUGGUUUGUUUUGGGUUCAAUCACGACCCAUGCUGGAUUCAUUAGCUCCAGCUUGUUUAGUUUUAAACGUUGUAUGGUGGAAAUGCUCUGGGUGAUUUCUAAAAUUUGAUCUGGUUUGUUAAGUUUUGGGCCUACCAUCGCCCUAGAAAUUUCUUCAAGUAAAUUAGAUACUUAGUAUACUGUCUAAUGCCUUUUACGAUUAGUGAUUUCAUUACAAGCUUUUAGUUUAGAUAAAAUUAAACAUCCUUAAUUCACCUUAGUGAAUACAAUGCUCCCCUUUAUAAAUAGACUGAGGCGCGCCAUUUAAUUAAAUCUCAUAUGGCCCUCAUAAGACUAGAUCAAGAAAUCACACUUGAAGAAAGAGAUCUGAGGCGUGCCAUAAACAAAUUAACACAUCUAUGGCCCUCACAAAUGUUAUAAUUUAGAUAUUAAAAAUGAACUUUGUAGUCAUGCUUUAGGCGCGUUGAUUAUAUAAUUAUCACGGCUAUUACUAAAAAAUCCGGGUGUACAUUUCAUGUGAUCCGGUUCUAAUUGCAAUAAGGUUAAAUAGAAUGUGUCGUGAAUCACGGGUGCAUUUCAUGUAGCGUGGUUUGCCAUCGUUUUAAAUAACCUUGAGAUAAUUAAAAGCAACUAAAGGAUUAAAAAUGCAUAUAGGUUUCAAAGAUGUUUUAAAAUCAAAUAAAUAGGCCAAUAUUAGCAGUUGAGUGACCGUGCUAAAACCACAGAACCCGGGAACGCCUAACACCUUCUCUCGGGUUAACAGAAUUCCUUACCCGGAAUUCUGUGUUCGCGGACUGUAAAACAUAGUCAAUCAUUCCUCGAUUCGGGAUUUUAAACCGGUGACUUGGGACACCAUAAAUUAUUCCAAGUGGCGACUCUGAAUAAAUAAAUAAUCCCGUUUCGAUUGUCACUUAAAUUGAAAAAAACUCCCUUAUACCCUUUCUGGGGGUAGUAAAAAGGAGGUGUGACAGCUCUGGCGACUCUGCUGGGGAACGAACCCAGAAUCUUUGGUCCAGGGUUCAAGACUUCGAGCAUAGAAUAAUUGUUAUAUUUGACUUUAUUUAUUAUCUGGUUUUAUUUACAUUUUUGGGCCUAAUAUUCUAAAUGUUGCUUUUUACCGCUUUGAUAUUGUUUAACUGUAUAUAAAUUGUUGCAAAACCCUCCUCUCUCUGAGUCUUAUAAAUCAUUUGAGAAGGGUGCACUUCGUGUGACUUUUCUUCUGUUAGAGUCAUGUCCCAAUUUUAGGACGAGGUUCGGACAAGUUGCAAAGCCGGUGAAGCCCCUGGCCCGAGCUGUCCGCUCGGGUAAGCCAGGUCUAGAACAAAUAAACUCAGGUUUUCAAACAUAGUAUAACAUAGCCUCAUGUUGGAUCCCUAGUAGGAACGCUUGUUUGCAUCACGUGCACUUGUCUUUGGGGACUCAACACAGGGGUUAGGUCCGUCUAGGACAGGUGCACCCAAAACCAAAAGACCAUUCUGAUGCAUUUUACUUGCUACUUGCGCAUCUAUUUGACUUGGAUUGCAUGUGGACCAUCUUCUAGAAUAAGAGAGAAAAAUUAAGAAAAAACAAAUUGAGGUAAGCGAGAGAAAAUUACCCGCUUGUGAAAAAUUUGGUGUCCAAAAUAUCUCGAAACUCUGCCGGAAUUUUGAAGAAAAGAAAAAAAUCUAUUUCCAAAAUGUUUAUGUAUCUUUUGUUGUUGUGCCAAAAUUGACCGAACUAUGCAGGUUUGAUUCUCACCGGUUGUGGGAUACGUAGGCAACCCUCAUCGGGUCCAACUCCAUUUUUGCAAAAACAACCCAAAAAAAUACGAAGUGUCGCUAUUUUGUCAUAAAUAAAUUAGAUAAUGUCGUUCUUGUCCAAAAUAGCCAAAAUGCCCCGAAAGGGAACCUGAAGGCUGCUUUUGCAAGAAUAGCCACCUAAGGUCCUUUUUUCAAAUUUUGCUUGAUUAGCAAAUGCAGCCCCAAAAUCUCCUGAUAUGAGGGGCUGAAGGGCUAUAUUCGCAAAAGUGUUUUGUUUUAAAUUGCAAUUUUAUUUUAAAAAGAAAUUUUUUUGAGUCAAAGUAAAUCAUGGUCUUUUAAUCAAUCACUUUAAAUAAAUGUGCAGGAUGAGCACGAAAGAAAAUGAAACUUUCACAGUCCUCGAUGAAAUCCCGUUAGAACUCCAUAUGUGGUGGAAUGAUUCAGGGGAAGUCGGUAGAGAAACUGUGAUAAAAGAUUUGGGCAGUCUUGUUGGUCUUCUGAUGAUUAAGCCGAGAACGGAUAUAAUUGAGGCUUUGAUACCCUUUUGGGACCCAACGCAUAAUGUGUUCCAUUUUGCAGAUUUUGAGCUAACCCCUAUGCUUGAGGAAAUGGCAGGCUACGUUGGUUUUAGUAGGAAUCUCAGAAAUCAAUACUCGGUGCCACUUAGAAUAGUGACUCCUCAUAAGUUUCUGGAUCUUCUAAGUAUCAAUCGAGAAGUUCAAGACGAAAAUUUGGCUAAGGGAUUCUACACAUUCUACUUAUUGUACCGACGUUAUGGAAAUCCCCGCGGUUUUGAGAUGCCAAAUACCGGUCUUACUCAUUCGGGGAACAAAGACGAGUGGGAAGCUCAGCGGGGACUGGCUUUUAUAGUGGCAUUCCUGGGUGUUUUGAUUUGCCCAAGAAAGGAUGGAAACAUAGAAUUGGGGCUUGUGGGAAUAACCGACUUCAUGACUAAAAGGGCUAAUGACACCAUUGUAUCGAUGAUCCUAGCAGAGAUUUAUUGAGCUCUAACUGUUUCCCAAGAAGGAGGAAAGUUUUUUGACAGAUGUAAUAUGCUUCUACAACUCUGGAUGGAGGAACACCUUUGCCACAGUCCAGGGUACAUAAACUGUGGCAUGAACAGUCUUAAAUGCAUUAAAAAACAUGAACAAUGGGUGGAGGGCUAUGAGUUUCUGGAUAGUACGGAAUCAUGGUUCGCACAUUUGAGCUCCCUGACCACAAACAAAAUUGAGUGGACAUUCGGGUGGCUCCCGGUCAAUGAAGUCAUUUACAUGUCGGCCGAAGUUUGUUUUCUUCUAUUAAUGGGUCUCUGGAGCAUUCAUCCUUAUGCCCCACACAGAGUUAUAUGACAGCUAGGCAGGUACCAAACUAUCCCACAUGAUGAGGAUUUGAGCCAACAGGUCAUCGAACUGGUACCAAAAGCUCCUUUCCCGAAAGAAAGGGUGCGUCGGAUUUGGAAUCAAUGUAGGUUCUUAGAGAAGCUCAGGUACGGGAUGUAUCCAGAGUCAAGUUGGAGCCUCGUUACACAACUUGGUACGGUAAAAGGUCUCAAGUCCAUCAAGAGCCUGAACGGCCCGCCAAAAUGCCCCAUGUCCAACAAUUCACUAAUGGAGCACAUGAGCAAUGGGAUUGGUUGGCAAAAGAGGCAAGCUACAGAGCCACCAUAAGCAAAUUGGAGGGACAAAUCAAGAUCUUAAAUUUGAAAAAAGUGUACAGGCCGCUGCUGAUGAAGGGGAGAAGAAGAAAUUGGCCCAAAAAAAGAAGGCCCUUCGAGCACAGAUCCAAAAAAUGAAAAUGGCUGCUGAGAAUUAGGAAAGGAGCCGAAAGGAUGAAAGACUCAUAAGUUGUCUUAGGAGGAAACUAGCUCAGUGUGAGGAUGAUUUGGAAAAAUCUGAGGGUAAUUUGGCGAGAUCCCGGGCACAGUUAGCGAAGAACGCAGAGGGACGAGCAGAGUUUGUCCAGCAAUUAAAAAUGAAAUAUGAGGGAGAAGCCACCAAUUUGAAGAAAAAACUAACUACCCUUGAGAACGAGAUGGCCGAACAAACAAAGAGCUUCAAAGCAUAAAGAAAACACUGCUACGCCCUGAUGUUGUAGUUAGAAAAAGACCUGCAGUAGCUUCAAGAGCAAAAUCAUACAGCUGAGCAAGUUUUGGGGGCCAGGUCUCAGCAGAUUGGACGGUUGCUACAAGAGAAGGGUAUUAUCAGAGAAAGGGUUAGGAACAUUGCGGACUACAUUGUGAUGAAGUGCAAUGAGUAUGAAGACAUUACCAGGUCCAUGUUCUUCACUUCCAUUUUGAUUUUUGUCAGACAGAUCAUGGACGACAUAUUCCGCCUUCAAGAAGAUAUGGCAAAUAGGCCUGCGGCGAGACCGACUGAUGUCCCGCGGGCCCCUGGAGCGGUUGAGGCACUUAUGUAUUCAUGAUUUUCAUUCGAGUCUAUAUUUUCAUCUUUCCUCCAGAGUCUGUUAGUCCAUUUUCGAAUCUGUAUUUUCAUUUUUCUGUUGGAGUCUGUUAGUCUCCCUUUUCGAGUCUGUUAGUUUUUAUGAUUAAAUUCUGUAGGAGAAGUCGUUAUAAUCAAGAUAUUUUUUAUUUUAUAAAAAAAUUGAAACCCAAAAAAUGUAUCUUUCUUUUAUUUUACAUUUAUCCCCAGAACUACGCUUGGUCUGAUUCAUGCGGCGUCAUGAUACAUAGGCAAUCCCCAUUGGAUUCGAUCAUAACCAUGAAAUGAAAAGAAAAAAAAAGAGAAAAGAAGAAAAUUGUGGGAAAGAAAUAAUGGCAAAACAAGAGAGUUAAAAUGAGUGAGUAAAAGAAUAAAAAUGGGAAUCAAGUAAAGAAAAGCAGGAAAAAAAAAAGAGAAGAGAGAGAGAAAUUGCAAAAUGAAAGUUAGUGGAAGCCGGGAUGACGCAAGUAGCCGUUCAAAUGCAUAAUAGAAAUGGUUAACUGCUUAGGUACAUUACAUCUCCAACGUGUGGUUUCCUAUUUGUUAAGAUCUAAUCGCUAACAAGUUUGCUUGUUGUCAUCAAGUCCAGGUAGAUGGUUAGUUUGUUUGACAUUCUGGCAACUCACCUGUACAACACCAGGUCCAAAAACAAGUUGAUCAUGGUUGGCCAAGAACUGGAUGUAGGUGUUAUUGAUCCUUCAAGAGAGGGGGAAGAGUCUUAUGUUAAUCUGAAAGAGGAGUUGCAUAAGUUGAAACACCAAAUGGUAGAGAUGUACCAGGCAUGGAUGAAAGGGCAUCCACCACCAUCAUACCCUGCUAACCCUGCUUUCGUCCCGCCACUGGCUCAGUCCUAAGAACCUCCCACUACUGAUUCAUCUCCAAGCUUUCCCCAUUUCCCCUACUACCACGACACCACUUCCCAAACCACGCAAGCACCACUACCCAAAUCAAUCCCAUACCCCCCUCCACCAGCUACCCAUGUUUUUGUGGCACCCCCACCCGCUACAUUCCAUCGAUCCUCCAGUGAACCCUUAUCCCAGACCUAAGAUAACCAAUACUAUCCCCCGGAGCCUACCUUCAAGGCCCCAGAGCAUUACUCCUACACUCCUCAUUUCGACCUCCCAGUUGAGACUGAGAAACCACCCAAGAGCCUAGAGCAAGAGGAGAUGUUCAGGAAGGUAAGAAGCCUGGAACAAUCGUUCAGAAACAUGUAGGGAUUGGGAGGCCAGGUGAGCAUAGCCUACAAAGAUUUGUGUCUAUUUCCCGAUGUUUAGUUGCCUAUGGGAUAUAAGAUGCCUAAAUUUGAUCUAUAUGACGGGCAUGGAGACCCGGUUGCCCACUUGAGGGUUUUCUGCAACAAAAUGAGAGAAGCCGGCGGGAAAGAUGAGUUGUUGAUGGCGUACCUAAGUUAAAGUCUGAGUGGCUCGGCAUUGGAGUGGUACACUCGUCAGGAUCACAGCAGAUGGUAUACCUAGGAUGAUUUGGCCCAACAAUUCGCUCGUCAUUUCCAGUAUAACAUCGAGAUUGUUCCAGAUCAUUUAUCUUUGACUAAAAUUGAGAAGAAGCCCAGUGAAAGUUUAAGGGAAUACGAUUUUUGCUAGAGAAAACAAGCGGCAAGAGUUAACCCCCCGAUAGAGGAGAGCGAAAUGGUGGAGUACUUUUUGUAGGCUCUGGAGCCUACUUACUUUGGCCAUCUGAUAUCAGCCAUAGGAUAGUUUUCAACGAGGUAGUGAAGAUGGGUGGCAUGGUGGAAGAAGGGCUCGAAUCAAGCAAAAUCAUGAGCUACUCGGCCAUCACAACAACUACCCAAGCCAUUCAGAAUGGUAUUGGAGGAGUGAUUGGAAAGAAAAAGAAAGAAGAUGUGGCAACAGUUGAUUCAGGAUCGUGGUUUGGACCACGGGGCCCGUCACACCAUUAUACCCAGCCUCGACCUCAUUACCGAACCUACACCCAAACUCCAUACAAUCCACCCUAACAUUACUUCCAAUUACCUGAUCCUCAGAUUUCCAUCCACCACACCCAUACAUAUACUCAACCUCCUGCCUACGCAUAAUAGCGUGCCCUACACCCACAAAACAACUACCCAGCUCCACAAAAUGCAUACCUAACCCCACGAGCCUACCAAAACCCUAUCGGCAUAGGUUUCCGACCUAAUCCAGCAUUCAAAAAUGAGAGGUUGCAACAGAAGAAAACCUUUACCCCAUUGGGGGAGUCUUAUACCAGUUUGUUCCAUAGAUUGAGGUAGUUGGAUAUGCUGAAGCCAAUUGAGUCGAAAUUGUCAAACCCUUCUCCAAAGAAUCUUGAUUACUCCGUGAGUUGUGAAUACUAUUUUGGUACUCCGGGGCAUGAUACAGAGAAGUGUUGGCACUUGACAAAUGCCAUUUAGGAGCUCAUUGACACAAACCGGAUUGAAGUCCAAACUCUAGAGGCACCCAACAUCAACCAAAACCCAUUACCAACCCAUGAGGGAACAAACAUGAUCGAGAUAGUACACAAGGGGGGGGGGGGAGCCCAAGAAGCCUUCACAAUCUGUCAUGAUGAUCCGGUCCAGUAAGGUCAAGCCAGUCAAAAAACCAACGAUUGAAGGAUCAGUGAACAAGUUGAGCACGACAAACGGCAAGCCAUCUGUGGUAGUUAAGAAAUGCUCCCCAAGUGAUGCUGCAUCAAACCAAGAAAAGUCAAAAGUGGUCAUGCCAGGGUUGGCAAAUAAGCCCAUCAUAAUUGUAGAGGGUGCCCGUAUGGAUCCUAUCGUCAUCAAGCCUGUAACUUAGUUGUCAGUAAUCAGCACCAAGGCUAUCCCAUGGAACUAUGAAUGGGUGAUAGUGACCUAUAAGGGAAACGAAGUGAAAGAGGAAGUCAAUGAGGCCUAGGGAUUAACUCAUUCGGGGAGAUACUUUACCCUAGAAGAGUUAAGGAAAGCUAAAAUAUCCAGAGAUAAUCCAGUUCUAGUAAAGAAAGCAUCCACUGCAGAAGAGGCAGAGGAAUUUCUAAGAAUAAUGAAGGUACAAGAUUACUCCAUCGUGGAGUAGCUUAGAAAGACGCCCGCCCAGAUUUCCUUACUAUCAUUGCUGAUCCACUCAAAUGAGCAUCGCCGGGCCCUGAUGAAAAUUCUAAACGAAGCUCAUGUCCCCGACAAAAUUUCAGUGAACCAUCUAGAGAAGAUCGCCAUAGGACCAGUGGAAUUCACCAUGGAGUUUCAGGUACUGGACGUAGUCGUCUCCUACAAUUUACUGUUAGGUCAGCCUUGGAUACAUGCCGCCAAAGUAGUUACGUCCACUUUGCACCAGAUGGUCAAGUUCGAGUGGGAUAGGCAGGAGAUCGUCGUGCAUGGUGCGGAGAAUUUGUGUGCUCACAGUGAUGCCUCUGUCCAAUUCAUUGAGUCUGAAGAUGACAAAGGGCCUUAGCCUAUCAAGUUUUUGAAACAGUGCCGGUCGAGAAGGUUCCAGAAGGGAAAUGUCCAAAGAUAACCUCUGCGUCAGUCAUAGUGGCCUCUGAAAUACUGAAAAAUGGCUUUGGGCCAGGUAAAGGUUUGGGUGCAUCCCAGCAAGGUAACAUACAGCCAAUGUCCCUCCCUAAAAAUUUGGGUACGUUUGGUCUUGGAUUCAAACCUACAACGACAUAUGUGAAAAGGGCUAAAAGGUUGAAACAGAAGGCAUGUGCACUUCCAAAGCCUAUUCUGCGUCUCUCCAGGUCUUUUGUCAAGCCUGGUGCCAGGAAACGCCCAGUGACAACAACUCCAAUGACAUUGAUAAAGAGAUAAUUGAAAGGUUCCAGAGGUUGUUUGAUGAUGUGAACAUGAUAGAAGUUGGAGAAGGUUCUAGCAAAGUGGACAUGUAGUUCGUCGGGCCGAAUUUAAAGCUUAACAAUUGGAAGGCUACACCUCUCCCUACUCGGAAGGAGUCUUGGUAGUUCAUUUUUAUUUCCUUUUUAUUUGGGUCAUUCCAGGGUUGUGAUCCAGAUUUUUAUUUUUUGAUUGUUGAUGUACAAACCCUAUUAUCCUUUAUUUUCAAUGAAAUGCAAUUUCCCUUUUUCCAUCAUUCCUGAUAGUUUCAUUUUUAUUUUCUUUUUUUCUCUGUACAAUUUUUUUAUGCUGGUUUCAAUGACAUGACAUGCAUGAGAAAUGUUCGGCCCAGUCUUAAAAGUCAAUAUAAUUCUAAAAUAAUAAUCCAAGAAAUAGAGUGUGAUGAUGAAUAAGAAUAUGAUGAGGAUGAGGCCUUUGAAGAGAUUAGUAAGGAACUAAGUCAUUUUGAAGAAAAACCCAAGCCUAAUCUGAAUGAAACGGAAACAAUCAAUCUAGGGGAUCCAGAUAAUGUCAGAGAAACUAAGAUAAGUGUCCAUCUUGAACCACAAAUCAGGGAAGAAAUAAUUAAUGCAUUGUUCGAGUAUAAGGAUAUUUUUUGCAUAGUCGUAUGAUGACAUGCCAGGCUUGAGUACCGAUUUGGUGGUCCACAAAUUGCCGAUUGAUCCAGCAUUCCCUCCCAUUAAGCAAAAAUUGAGAAAGUUCAAAACUGACAUGAGUGAGAAGAUUAAAGAAGAAGUCAUAAAGAAGCGUGCUGCAAAAGUCAUUCGAGUCAUGCGGUAUCCCACGUGGUUAGCCAACGUUGUGCCUAUGCCAAAGAAAGAUAGUAAGACCAGAGUGUGUGUUGAUUACCGUAAUCUCAACAAGGCAAGUCCGAAGGACAACUUCCCACUGCCAAAUAUCCAUAUUUUGAUUGAUAAUUGUGUCAAGCAUGAGAUUGGGUCUUUUGUGGAUUGCUAUAUGGGGUAUUGUUAGAUUUUAAUGGAUGAGGAAGAUACGGAAAAGACGACAUUCAUCACGCUGUGGGCAACAUAUUGCUACCAGGUCAUGCCUUUUGGGUUAAACAAUGCUGGGGAAACUUACAUGAGGGCAAUGACUACCAUAUUCAAUGACAUGAUACACAAGGAGAUUGAGGUUUACGUGGAUGAUGUGAUCAUAAAGUCCAGGAAGCAGUCUGACCACGUCAAAGAUUUGAGAAAGUUUUUCUAGAGGCUCUGCAGGUACAAUCUCAAGCUUAAUCCUGCAAAGUGCACAUUUGGUGUUCCAUCGGGGAAACUGUUGGGGUUCAUAGUCAGUCAGUGGGGCAUUGAGUUAGAUCCAUCAAAGAUUAAAGCUAUCCAGGAAUCGCCACUGCCAAAGAAUAAGACCGAGGUGAUGAGUCUGCUAGGGAGGCUGAACUACAUCAGCAGGUUUAUUGCUCAGCUCACAACAACUUGUGAGCCCAUCUUUAAGUUGCUAAAGAAAGAUGUUGCGGUCAAAUGGACUGACGGGUGCCACGAAGCAUUCGAUAAGAUCAAAGAGUAUUUGUCGAACCCCCCUAUGUUGGUCCCGCCAGAAUCUGGGAGACCUUUGAUUCUUUAUUUGACGGUCCUGGAUAAUUCAUUGGGUUGUGUAUUGGGUAAGCAUGACAUCACUGGUUGGAAAGAGCAAGCCAUAUAUUAUCUCAGCAAGAAGUUCACAUCUUACGAGGUUUAGUAUACUCCCCUUGAAAGGACAUGUUGCGCCCUAACUUGGGUAGCAUAGAAAUUGAAGCAUUAUUUGUCAUCCUACACUACUUACCUCUUUUCUCGCCUGGAUUCUUUAAUGUAUAUCUUUCAGAAGUCCAUGCCCACAGGAAGGCUCGCAAAGUGGCAGAUCUUGCUAACAGAGUUUGACAUAGUAUAUGUGACUCGGACGGCGAUGAAAGCCCAAGCUUUGGCCGAUCACUUGGCCAAGAACCUGAUGGAUGAAGAAUAUGAACCUUUGAAGACUUAUUUUCCUGACGAAGAGGUGAUGUAUAUUGACGAGGUCGAGAAGGACUGAAAGCCUGAUAGGAAACUCUUCUUUGAUUGGGCCGCUAACACGAAAAGCAUUGGAAUAGGAGCUGUACUUAUUUCUGAAACAAGGCAGCAUUACCUUGUCACUACUCAGCUCUGUUUCUAUUGUACCAAUAACAUGGCCGAAUACGAAGCGUGCAUUUUGGGUUUAAGGUUAGCUGUGGACAUGGGAGUCAAGGAAGUGCUGGUUUUGGGAGAUUCAGAUCUGUUAGUGCAUCAGAUCCAGGGAGAAUGGGAGACUCGAGAUUUGAAACUCAUACGUAUCGAUAAUGUAUGCAGAAUCUUUGUCAGUGGUUCAGAUAAGUGGAGUUCAGGCAUAUCCCUAGGAUCCAUAAUGAGGUUGCUGACGCUUUGGCUACUCUAGCGUCGAUGUUACAUCAUUCAGAUAAAUCUUAUGUUGACCCUCUGCAUAUUCAGGUCCGCGAUCAGCAUGAUUACUGCAACAUGGUAGAGGAAGAACUUGACGGUGAAUCAUGGUUACACGAUAUCAGGAGUACAUCAGGUCGAGGGUAUAUCCGGUACAAGCCACAGGGGACUAAAAAAGAACAAUUCGACAGCUGGCAAGUGGAUUUUUCUUCAGUGGGGGAGUCUUGUACAAAAGAACUCCAGAUCUUGGAUUGUUGAGAUAGAUCGACGCAAAGCAAGCCGCGACUAUCAUAAUCGAAGUACAUUUCGGAGUUUGUAGGCCGCAUAUGAGUGGGUAUGUUCUGGAAAAGAAAAUUCUUCGAGUAGGUUAUUAUUGGCUCUCCAUGGAACGAGAUUGCAUUAGCUUUGUGCGUAAGUGUCAUCAAUUCCAGGCCAUUUGAGUUGCACAUAAUGUCCGCACCAUGGCCCUUCGUUUCUUGGGGUAUGGAUGUCAUCGGACCAAUUGAGCCAGCAACAUCCAAAGGACACAGGUUCAUUCUGGUGGCUAUUGACUAUUUCACUAUGUGGGUUGAAGUUAAAACAUUUAAAUCUGUGACCAAGAAGGCAGUGGUCGAUUUUGUUCAUUCAAAUAUCAUUUGUCGGUUCGGAAUCCCAAAGGUGAUCAUCACAGAUAAUGGUGCUAAUCUUAACAGCCAUCUAAUGAAAAAGGUAUGCUAGCAGUUUAAGAUUACGCAUCGAAAUUCCACCCCAUACCACCCCAAUGUGAAUGGAGCAGUUGAGGCAGCCUACAAGAACAUAAAGAAGAUACUUCAGAAAAUGGUGCAAGGUUCCAGGUAAUGGUACGAAAAGUUGCCCUUUGCGUUGUUGGGUUAUCGCACUACUGUUCACACUUCAGUAGGUGCAACUCCUUAUUUGUUAGUAUAUGGUACUGAAGCAGUGAUACCCGCAAAAAUUGAUAUUCCAUCCCUUCAGAUCGUUGCUGAAGCCGAAAUUGAUGAUGAUGAGUAGGUCAAAACCCAUCUGGAGAAAUUGAGCUUGAUUGAUGAGAAAAGAUUGGUAGCAGUGUGUCAUGUCCAGUUAUUUCAAAAGAGAAUGGCAAGAGUAUACAACAAGAAGGUGCGUCCCUGGAAAUUUGAAGUGGGUCAGCAAUUAUUGAAACACAUCCUUCCACAUCAGGUUGAAGCAAAAGGCAAGUUCGUCCCAAAUUCGCAAAGGCCGUUCAUCGUAACGAGAGUGUUGUCCAAUGGUGCUUUGUAUUAAACAGAUAUAGAAGGCAAAUAUAUAGAUAUAGCUAUCAAUUCUGUUGCAGUUAGAAGAUAUUAUGUAUGAUUUCUUUGAUUCAAAUUGUGUUUGUUUGUACUUGGCAUGUUUUGAAGAUUGGAAUGACAAAGCCAUUUUGUUCUGCUAUCUAAAUUCUUUAUCCUUUGUUACCCCUUUGAGCCUUAUUUAUUUCCUUUCAUACCGCUCUUUUGGAAUCAGUAGCGAAAUUCAGAAAUGCGAAUACAAAAGGUGACCAAAGAAGUAAAGAAGAGAAAAGAAGAGAAAAGAGAAAGAAAAGAAUGGGAAAGAGUGAAAAAAUGGGAAAAAGAAAAGAAAGAAAAAAAAGAAGAAGAGAAAAGAAAAAGAGAAAAAAAAAGAGAAAGAAAAGAAAAGAGAGAAGUAACAACAACAAAGCAAUUCCUAUGACAUGAACUACGUUUGACCUGAAUCCUUUAAGGAUAUGUAGGCAGCCUCACAGUUUGGUCCCAUCAAAAUAGAAAAUUCACAAGUUCCCAAGCAAAGAAACUAGGGCAGAAAGUUGUGGUUGUUGCAAGAAAUCUAAUUCCAAAAGUUGUAAUUUUAAACUCAUUCAAGUUGUUUUGAGCCUUUCGAUGUCCUUUCUUUCUAACCCUAUCCCAAAGCCCACAUUAUGGUCCAAAGAAAGACUUUCCGAUUAGUUUUCAAGAGAUGCCAAGUCGAGCAAACAGAGGUGCGAUUCAUAUCAGGGGCAACACUCUGGUCUAAGCAGGAAAAAUGAAAAAUGAGAGUCUCAUUGGUGAAAACCCUCACGGGCAUUGUAAGGCGAUUGAAAGAUGAGAGAAAUUAAAAUGAGAGAGUCUUAUUGGUGAAUAUCCUCACGGGCACCGUAAGAUGACAGUGAGUUGAGAGAUGAACAAAUGAGAGAGUUUGUUGGUGAAAACCCUUCAGGGCACCUCAGGCCGAACAAGGUCAGUGAUUUGGCAAAGAACUUGGAUUAGGGAGAUCCUGGGGCACAAAGUAUGACAACUGAAAGGCGAUUGGUUGAACGGGCCGGGCUGAUUAAUCUGAAAUGCAUGUCAUAAUUAUUGGCGCCAGCUGCCUCACUCAGAUAAGUUCCUUUUCAUUUUCUCCCUCAAACAGUCAUCUUGUUUCAGUUUCUCUUCUUUAUUUAUUUACUCACGAAGUCAUUGCAUUUCAUUUCUUUUGGGUUUAUCUUUCUAAGGCUUUUACAAUCCCAGCCUUGUUUAAGCAAAUAAGAAAGGAUUUCAAAGCUUACUACCAACUUCCAAUAUUGCACAAAGCAAAGCGCGGCCAAAGCAUACCAGAACAAGUGAAAAAUAAGGUGUUAAUGAAAGUUCAAGGGGUCGAGUGGUUUGUGAAUUUUGUGGAUGACACGGAGGUUCAAAUUAGAAGGACAGAAAUGUAAAACAACAGGUUGGAUGCAGAGCAUUCGUGUGAUUCAGAGUCCUAUGGUUAAAAUUCAAUCAGAAAGGCAAACAAUUCUUGGCCAAUUCAAGGCAGCCAGUCAAAGCAAAGCACAGCAGCGAAAGGGCCACCUCUAGCAAGAAUGCUGCAAGCUAACCACCCCAUUUUUUAAAAUGAUAAAAUUUUCUUUGAUUAAAACAGGGGCAAGAAAUUUAGUUUAUUUAGAGGAAUCCUCCGUGGGGAAAGCAUUUACCGGACAGGUUCGACCGUAAAUUCUCAGAACCCGCCAGGAUAAUGGAAUUUAAUUUGGAGUUAUCAGGACCCUCCUAGACAAUGGGACCUAGUUAAAAUUCAAAACAUUCAUGAGUAACAAGAUCUAUCAUAAGCUCUACCUUGAGGAAAUAUAAGUCGGCUUUGAAGUUUUCAUUCUUAGGAUAAGAUUCAAUUUGAAAUUUUCAGGACCCUCCUGAAUAAUGGGACUUAGUUUUAAGACAUCUAUUAGAUGAUGAGAUUUAGCAUAAGUCCUACCUUUUGGAAAUAUAAUUUAGCUUUAAAGUUGUCACUCUUAAAGAUAAUAUUUGAUUUCAAUGUUCAGGACCCUCCUGGAUAACGGGAUUUAGCUUUUAAAUUCUUAGAGCUUUUGGGUACCAUGAUUCGAUUAACACUCACAGAUGUUCCCGAUAUCAAACUGGGCAGAAAAAUUUCUUUUGUUUUGUCUGUUUUGUUGUAAUCAGGUUCAAAGGAAAAGCAGUUUCAAGAAGAGGACAAUUCAGGUUCAGCAAUCAGGCGCUCACCUGGAGAACAAGGGAAGACGACACAAGCUUAAAGGAAAGCGGUUCAAGCUUGGCAAUCAGGCGCCCACCUACAGAACAAGGGAGAAUAGCUCAAGUUUCAAAGGAAAACAGUGCGAGUUCAGCAAUCAUGUGCCCACCUGGAUAGCAACGGAAAAUGGUUCAAGCUUCUAGGGAAAACAGUUCCAAGUAGCAAGAGAAGAUGGCUCGAGUGUCUGCAAUCAGGCGCCAACCUGGCAAACAAGGGAAACAAUUCAAAUUUUAGAGAAAAGGAAUACAAUUCAAAUGUUGGUAAUGAGGCGCCCACCUGGAGAACAAAGGGAAAGCAACAAUGUUCAAAGGAAGGCGGUUCAAGUUCAGCAAUCAGGAGCCCACCUGGAGAACAAGGGAAAAUAAGUCAAGUUUCGAGGAAAAAGCAGUGCAAGUGUUGGAAAUCAGGUACCCACCUGGAGAAAAAGGAAAAACAGUUCAAGUCUCAAGGAAAAAACAGUUAAGGUCUUGGUAAUCAGGCGCCCACAUGGAGAGAAAGGGAAUAAAGUUAGAGUUUUAGCAAUCAGGCGUCCACCUGGAAAGCAGGGGAAUACAGUUAAAGUUUUGGCAAUCAUGCACUCACCUGGAGAGCAAGGGAAUACAGUUAAAGUUUUGGCAAUCAGGUGCCCACUUAGAGAGCAAGGGAAUACAGUUAAAAGCUUUGGCAAUCAGGCGCCCACCUGGAGAGCAAGGGAAUACAUUUAAAAGUUUUGGCAAUCAGGCGCUCACCUAGAGAGCAGGGGAAUACAGUUAAAGUUUUGGCAAUCAGGCGCCCACCUGUAGAGCAAGGGAAUACAGUUAAAAAGUUUUGGCAAUCAGGCGCCCACCUAGAGAGCAAGGGAAUACAGUUAAAGUUUUGGCAAUCAGGCGCCCACCUGGAGAACAAGGAAAGCAGCUCAAAUUUCAAAGGAAGACAACACAGGUUUCAAGGGAAGGUGGUCCAAGUACCGAAGGAAGACAGUUCGAGUAUUGGCAAUCAGGUGCUCGCCUGGAGAAUAAGGGAAUUCACUUUAGAAUGCAAUUCAAGGCAGCAACAAAGGAAUCUCACCUGGAGAGUACAAGUCAACAGAGCCGUAGAAACUGGAAGAUCAUGUUUGAAAAAGUGUAGAUAGGAUUCUUGCAAUUCAUAGAUCAUAGUUUAGUGUAGUUUCUUUUAUUUUGUCUUGGUGUAAUAAGGAGUUCAGCAAGCAGUAACAGUGAAAUCGCAGCUUCCUGGUAGUCCCAGCUAUCGAAACUUCCUGAACUAUACUAACCUGAUUCCUUUAUAGCCAAGGAUAUGUAGGCAACCUCGGAAGCAAGGUGCGGUCAGAUAUUUCAAAAAUGCUUCCCACGGAGUAUUCAAACGGGCAAAAAUCGCUCGCAUUCGCCCACUUUAUCUUUGCACGAAAACUCUUCGUGUUUCCGAACAAAGAGGGGUAGCUGUGAGCACGUGAUUUUUGCCCUAUAGGAAUUACUCCCAUAAAAUAUAAGAGAAACAAUUUUUCCCAUUAUUUACAAUUUUAUAGAUUUUUCGUAGAGUUUUGUUAAUUGCUUGCAUUUUUGUGCACAUUUAAUUUCCAUUAAAAAUCAUGAAAAAUACCAAAAAUACCAAGCAUUGUAUUUAGGUUUGUUUUAUAUUUUUGGAAGUAAUUAGUAAUUAUUUCUUUUAUUAAAAAAUGAAAAUCACAAAAAGGUCCAUUUUACAUUUUUACCUUUUAAAUUGUUGAUUUUUCUCUGUUAACUUAGGAUUGAAUGAUUUUUAUAAUUUUUAUAAUUUGAUAUUUAGUUUAAUUUUACAUUAGAUUAAUUUAGGUUUAAUUUGGGAUCUGUAUUAAUUAGGAAAACGAAAUAAAAAGAAAAGAAAAGGAAAGGAAGGACUUAAUAAGAGGGUUUAAUGUGAAAUGUUGAAUUUGGGCCAUUUACACCCGGAUUUUCUCCAGAAUAAUCAAGCCCAAACGUGCAGUCUACCCGAUCCGUCUCACUUUCACGAUUUGGUUCUUCAGCCCCUAGGACACUUGAAACGACAUAGUAUGGGGGCAAUACUACGUCGUUUUAAGUUCAAUUGUUUUAAGUUAAUCUUGACCCCUCAAUGUUCUCUCAUCCAAUGGCCUUGAAAGCUUUUCCCAUUUUGUUUAAAAUUGUCCAAACGCCCUAACAAAUAACCUAGGACCCCUGUUUUAUCUUCUCUUUCACCCUCAUCUCUCACCACCGUCCGCCGCCCAUCGGAAAUCGCCAGUAGUGGCGGUUGAUCUCCAAACCCCCUCAAAUCUUGACUAUAUAACUGUCAUUGCCCCUCCAUUCCAAAUCCACCCUUGUUUCCUCCCCCAAACCACUGGUCUUCUCCGAAUUAGAGAUCUAAGAGAUCAAUAAAAUCCUCUUCACCCUUUUUCUUUUGAUAUCUGCCCAAUCUAGCCUCUUCUUGGUGUUGAACAUAUGUGAAUCGACCAGCUUCGAGUGAAAAGCCAAUUGGCUGAGGGUUCGUUUGGUGCAUGGUGGUUGAGUUUGGUUAACAAUCUCCAAUGGGCAAUUAUUUCUGUUUCUUCUUCGUUCUUGACUCGUGAUGGGGACUGAGACGAAGAGCACAAGCCAUUGAAUAAACUUCGGCUAGUGCUCAAUGUUACAGUUCACACCAUGGGGUUGAGGUUCUUCACGCCGGAUUCCCUUACCUUUGAGCCAUCGAUCUAGCCAGUAUACUUCUAUUCCUCUUCAUCUCAGUUGGAUUUAGAAAACAUAGGUUUUUCAGUCGAUUUAUUCGGUAAUAAUAGGUCAAGAAGCACAGUUAAUCUCUUUGUUAGCAUUUGUUAAUUUUCUUCUUUCCUUUUACUUCUUCUCUUUUAUUCUGCUUCGUUAGAAGAUCUGAUUCAGAAUAGGGUUAGUUUGGACUUUCUUGUGAAUUCAUCUGCUUAGACUUGAACCUGGGCUUGCUAGCGCAAGAAGCCCAAAGAGCUUGUUGAAUUUCGUUGGUGCAGAAGCCAAAGAAAUGUUGGGGUUUGUCAAUUCAGAAGCCCAAAGGCAUUUUGGUCAUUUUCGUUCAAAUGACUCGCAGGGCUAAGGUAAUUGGAAAGCUUAGAGAGGGUAGUUAGGGGAUUUGGUUAUAAAGAAUCUUUGAUAACUAUCUGAAAUGAAAAGAUGAAAAUUGAAGAGGGGAGGGUAGUGAAUGAAUAAAAUUAAGUUUUUUUGCCUAAACUCUAACUAUAAAAGGGCUCACUCCCUUCAUUUUCUGGAAGAGAUCAGAAUACCAAAAGCUAGCAAACGGCUGAAAUACACAUACAAUGCUAGAGUUUUAGAUUUAGGAAGAAAAAAACAAAACAAAAAAAGAAAAAUCCUUCAAAUACUAUUCCAUUGCAGCUAGUUUUGAUCUUUCUUGGUUUUUAAAAAAGCUUGAGUACACUACUAUUCUUUUUCUGGGUUCAAAACAUGAGAAGCUGAUUGAUAGUUGUUGUUUUAAAGAUUUGCUGAUAUUACCAUUGCUUGCUGAUGUUCUGUGGUUUUUUUUUGGUUUAUAUCCAGGUACUUCUUUUGAACCCUGAAUGGAAACUAGAAUGUGAGCGUGUUUGUAUGGAAGGUGUACUCAUGCUGAAAAUAAUGGGUAUUCACGUUGAUAUGUUUUGAUUUUUUACUCUGAAAUAGAAUCACGCUAUGUUGAAUUAUGCUGCCAUUUCAUUUGAGUAUUAAGUUUAAGAUUUUGUUUAAUUCUUCAUAGUUCUAUGGAUGUACAGAUUCAUUUGUUUCUUCUUUCAUCUCAUUGGUAGUGUUGUUUGGAUUUUCACCAUCUGUAACCGUAGGCUCUUUAAUGUUUCUCUAGCUUUAGCCACUGGACCCUCUGCUAUGAUUUGUUCUUUUGUCUUUGUUCUAUUUUUUUUGUAAUGAUAGUCAGGUGUAUAGAUUGUUGUCCUUUUUAAAAAAAAAAGAAAAACAAAGAAAAUUCGCUUUCUUAAAAAACAGUUGGUUCUAAAUAUACGGAUGAGUGAGUCGUGUGAAGGAAAAGGGGUACUUGUUGUGCUUGUGCUAAAAUCUGUGUUCUAGUAUGGGAAUUAGAUUGUAAUUACUAUAAAGAUGUCCAUGUACUCCUAAUAUUCGAAAUUGUUGAACUAUUCGGCUAUAAACGAGUUAGGAGAGGAAAUUAAGCCUAAAAGGGCCUUAUUGUGGAAGUCUUCUUUUGUUGAAGGUUAUUGGGACACCCUUGGCCUAUAUCCGGUGGUCCGUUUGAAGUCCUAUUCAACAUGUUUUUUCAUGGUUUGCUUUUGGUUUUGUUUUGGGUUCAAUCACAACCCAUGCUGGAUUCAUUAGCUCUAGCUUGUUUAGUUUUAAACACUGUAUGGUGGAAAUGCUCUAGGUGAUUACUAAAAUUCGAUCCGGUUUGUUAAGUUUGGGCCUACCAUCGGCCUAGAAAUUUCCUCAAGUAAAUUUGAUAAUUAGUAUACUGUCUAAUGCCUUUUAUGAUUAGUGAUUUCAUUUCAAGCUUUUAGUUUAGAUAAAAUUAAACAUCCUUAAUUCACCUUAGUCAAUACAAUGCUCCCCUUUAUAAAUAAACUGAGGCGCACCAUUUAACUAAAUCUCCUAUGGCCCUCAUAAGACUAGAUCAAGAAAUCACACUUGAACAAAGAGAUCUGAGGCGUGCCACAAGUAAAUUAACACAUCUAUAGGCCUCACAAAUGUUGUAAUUUAGAUAUUAAAAAUGAACUUUGAAGUCAUGCUUUAGGCACGUUGAUUAUAUAAUUAUCAUGACUAUUACUAAAAUCCGGGUGUACAUUUUAUGUGAUCCGGUUCUAAUUGCAACAAGGUUAAAUAUAAUGUGUCGUGAAUCGCAGGUGCAUUUCAUGUAGCAUGGUUUGCGAUGCGUUUUAAAUAACCUUGAGAUAAUUAAAAAUGCACAUAGGCUAAAGGAUUAAAAAUGCACAUAGGUUUCAAAGAUGUUUUAAAAUCAAAUAAAUAGGCCAAUAUUAGCAGUUGAGCGACCGUACUAAAACCACAGAACCCGGGAAUGCCUACUCCUUCUCCCGGGUUAACGGAAUUCUUUACCAAGAUUUCUGUGUUCGCGGACUGUAAAAUAGAGUCAAUCUUUCCUCGAUUCAGAAUAUUAAACCGGUGACUUGGGACACCAUAAAUUAUUCCAAGUGGCAACUCUGAAUAAAUAAAUAAUCCAUUUUCGAUUGUCACUUAAAUUGAAAAAAAACUCCCUUAUACCCUUUCCGGGGGUGGUAAAAAGGAGGUGUGACACCGUCGAGACCACUAAGUCACAUGGCCUCGAAGUCAAUCACUGAGAACCCUCGGAGUUGACCACUGAUAACCCUCGGGAUGUCCUGAUGAUUGUAAAAUCGAACUGCUGAUUUCUACCGUAUACAUUUACUCUUUAUGGCCAAUAAUAAGCAAUAAAUGAAGAACAAUAAGUAGAACACAAUAAAUGUAAUAGUGGAGUUAAGAAAAUAUGUUAGAAAGCAGAGAGAAUGUUCUUGUAUUUUCAAUAUUGUGUAUUAGAUCCCCCUACAAAAUGACAAGGAUUCCUUUUUUAUAUGAGAGGGAAUCCAAACAUAGUACAAAUGCAUUUAUUACAAAGAUGUGGGGCUGGUACAGCCAUUUAAUGCCUUGAUUCAGGUCUAAACUAGCUCACUAGACUUUGUCAGCUUUAGUUAUGUGCCUUGGGAACUUUCCACUUUUUCACCAUAACCAUAGAUCUGUACUUCCCCGAGGUCGGAAAUCGAUGGCCACUCGGGUGUGAAUCUCGACCAUAGCCUCGAGCCUUUGAAACUGUGCUUACGAGGCAUCAUAAUGAUCGAAAAUUAGACCCUCUGAUUUUACUGUAUACAGAUAGUCCCUGCGUUUCCUAGAUCAAAAUGAUAGGAAAUGAUUUUGAACCCCUUACUUCUUAGGCACUACCAUCAUGACGUCAGACUAUUAGAGCAUUAAAUGCCAUUACUCAAAAGCUGUGUGAGGGUCACCGUCAACAUGUCUAUCGAGAAGCCCACGAACCGCUAUUGGUUCGUCCUUUCCACUGAUCAUAUGGCUUCUAUAGAUACCUCAAUCGUUUAGUGAUGCACACUUUUACAACAUCUUCAAAGUUCCAGAGCUAACGACAUCCCUUCUCAUGCUCUUCUUCCUUCCGUUCUUGGUUCCUCUCUUCCUUUCUUAGAAAUACCUUUCCAUCAUUAUGGCUAGAACUUCUAAAACUAUACCUUGAAAAGAGGGUGCUGCCUAUUCAUCUCAAACAUCUAAGGACAAGCCCAAUGUAUCCCCUACCGUCGAAUAGUGUACCCCUACCUAGUUAGAUACUAUGAACGACUUCUCUAUCGAGAGACCCUCAUCUACGUCGGGCCGAUGCGAACACGUGUCUCGGUAUAUUAGCAUUGUGACCAAUAUAGAAAAAGUGAAGGAAGACUGUCAAUGGGAGGAGAGAGUGCUGGUUGAGAUCCCCCGUUCUAAUGAGAGCAUAACGGACCACGGCUGGCUUCCAUUGUGUAUAUAUAUACUAAUUCACUUUGGGUCCCAUCGAUUCUUCAAACCCUUCUUCCCUAGUGAAAGAUCCGGUUAAUCUCGACUUCUGUGACAAGUAUCAAGUGACGCUUGGCCAAAUCUAUCCAUCUUUCUGGAGGAUAGUCUACAUGCUCCGUUAUUUAUCUACCCUUGACCAUAUUAUUAGAUUGUACAACCCUCGACUUUAUCGAGGUUUGAUUAAGCUUAACCCUCGAUCCACGAAGCCAUAUUUAUCAAGCAUUGAUGAGAACAAGGACCGAGCGUGGAUGAGCAGGUUCAUCCGAGUGAGGACCUCGAACAUCAUCCUAGCCAAAAGGAUGUCAUUCCCGGAGGAGUGGAAUUUGGAGCGUAAGUAUCUCUCCCUUGAACAAGCUUUAUUGUCUUCUUACCUUCUUUUAAAAAAAUGAUCUUCCCUUCGUUUAUGCAGCUACCGUUUGUAUCCUGAAGCGAUCCAUGACCUGUCGGGGUAGAUUAAGCAAUUGAAUACUUCGUUCCCUUAUUUCGGGCGCUCUUUGCCCGACUUGGCUAAAACGUGGUGGUCGCCCAAGAAUCACGGUAAGCAUUUUCGUGGUCACCUAUACCAUGUUCCAAUUCCUUUUUUGCAUUGGGAAGUUUUGAAUAUUAUGCUUGCGCAUGCCUUGGCGAUGGAGUGCGGAUGAGACUGCCUCCCGAUGGCGAGGAAGAGGCUUCGACGCUUGAUAAAGGCAAGAAGAGAAAGAAAAAGGCUGCUGCUGAGUCUUAUGUGGCAAAGAAAUCUAAAUCACAUAGGCCUCAAGCUGCUUCCAGGACCUCAACUUCAGCUUCCAGAGCAAGUCCCAGUAAUGGGGAUGAAGACGACGAUGAUGGUGAGUAUAGUUUGGUACAAAGGACGAGGUCGGGCACAGAUGUCCCGCAGGUGGCUGGGCCAAAGGCCACUGAAUUGGGAACAGUCAAUUUAGGUUUAUCCAGUAUUGUGGAGACCCUCGAGGAGGGUGCACACACGGUCCUUGAGUCCCUGAUCGGACGUGGUACAGUCUUUGACGAGGAGACCAUUGCUUCUGACUCCAAAGGGGCCAGGCCCGGAGCUUUUUGGGGACAAAAUUUUCCCCUUGGAGAUAUUAAUGCCCUCGAGGCCUUAAUUUGGGUCCUUAAUUCUCGCCCGGGGAAUUCAGGGAUGCAUAGGACCCAAAGGUUACCAACGUGGGGGGCCCUCUCGAGGGGGAGAUAAGCUUGACAACUUCCUCGAUAGCAUUGGUGAAGACAUUUAUCUCGACACUCCCAAUGCUAUCGAGGAGGAAGAGAGGCUCCAUCAGCAGGUGAUAACAUUUCUAUGCAUACCUUUAGAGCUUUAAGUAUUUCUCCCUAUUUUUCUGACUCUUUUGUUUUGUUGUAAGCCAAGAAAAUGUACGACCACGCUAUCUCUAAGUUGCGCGAUGAGCAUAGGAAGGAGGUCGAGGGUCUCACCUUGGGAUUAAAGGAGUUAAAGACCUUUUGUGGCCGAAAGGAGGAGGAGCUAAGUGGGCUCUGGGCGAGGUUGGAAGGAGUGUGCCGAGAAAAAGAUAACCUUGUCGAGCAGGUAAUAUUGUGUUUGUGAACCUACCCUCUGUCCUUGUAACUUGGCGAUUUACCAACUUUCUUUCCCUUGCAGGUCAGGAAAGAGAAUGCCCUCAUGGAGCAGCUUCGAGAGGAGGUAGUCGCCAAGGAUGCGGAGGCCUUCGAUUUAAGGGGGCAACAUAGGGUUGUGGCCUCGAAAAGGGACCAUCUGCGAACAGAGCUAUCAUCGACCCGGGAGCUUCUAUAGAGUGCCAAGGAGGAGGUCGCUGCACUAUCGUCGGCUAAGUCUGUGGCAGAAGAAAAGGCGUCCUCGUAUAAGGAAGAUGCUACCACUACAAAUGAGAAAGCUCGAGAGAUUUUAGUGAAGGCCAAGUAGAAGUUGACUCAGGCAGUUGUUUAUGCACGUGCGCAAGUGAGGAGGCGGGAUUUUGAGGAAGAGAGCGAUAAAGGCGCCGAUCUUUCAGUCGAGAUCAAGAAAGCCCGAACAUUGGAGGAAAAAUCUACCAUUCGAGCACUUCAGAUGAGGGCUCCGAUGAUGACUCCGAGGAAAUAGGGGUGAAGAGUUGAUUUAGGUCAUCUCUUUUUCCUAUUUUGUGCAAGAGUUUCUUAGGGGAAGGGCUUUGUUAAUACUCCCCUAUUGUAAAUGUGUUUUUGGAAGUAUGACAAUUUUUCCGCUUCGAGCAUGUCGCAUUCUAUGUUUCAACGUUUUGCCUUUGAAUUCUGAUAUUGGCUCUUCGGGGCAUAUGCUUGGAGCAGUCGAGGACUUUGAGAUUGGGAACCAUCUCAAAAUUGGGCUGAUAGUUUCCAUAGGGUCGAUGCCUGCAAUGGCAAAAUUUAUCGGGGUCUGAUGACCUCCGAGUGCUUGCAUACAGUGUUAUUUACGUGGCAUGAUUGUGAAGCGACUGAGGUGGUACCACUGGCGCGCUUCCCAAAAAGAGAUACUGACAUGGCUAGAUUCCUUUAGUCACUAUAGUAGGUGAAUAGUCACUACUUGCCCUAUAUAUGUGCUUGUUUUCCUCUUAUUUGAAGAUACUGCUGUAUUGAGAGACUAUCUCCUUUAUAAGGUUCCCCUUUCCUAUGCCAAUUACCUUUUACCCCAAAGAUUUCGCCAAAGUCAUCUCAUUUACCCUUUCUUUAUUUUACCAUAGCCAUGGAUAUUGUGCCCGCAUCCGCUUGCCAAGAAGAGGAAGGUCCUUCCCUAGUUGCGUACUCGGUUGGUGGUACACUGCCGGUGUCGAGUGAGCUAGCAUCGAGGUGUUUUUUCUUGACGAGGGACUUUUCAUUGGAGAAACCUCUAAAUGUUCUGGGCCACCAGGAACAUGCGUCGAGAUUUAUCUCCUCAAUAGGGGAGGAGCAUCUCGAGGCAGUCAAAAAAGACUACGGAUGGAGAAGAGAUAUGGAAUUGCAGGUACCUUCCCCGAAGGAGAGAAUUAUGGCCUAUGCCGAGGGGUUUUUGAACGUGUAUACGUACCCAUUUACGUUUGGCCCCCUUGAUAGGGUCAUGCUCGAGUUUUGUUGAAGGUAUCAGGUAACCUUGGCGGAGGCUCACCCAUCCCUUUGGAAGAUAGUGCUGAUGAUAAGUUACUUUGCGGAUAAGGCCAGGCUCGAAUUCACCCUUAGUCAUCUCAUUAGGUUUUAUUGGCCUUUGCAUUACCGGGGCUUGAUUUCUCUGCAACGUUGAUCCACCCGAUCCCUUGCCGUUAACGACGAAGAGGAUGAGGACCGAGGGUGGAUGAGCCGAUUAUUUCAAGCAUGGACAAUUGAUAUCAUCCCUGGAGAGUUUUUGCCAUUUCCUGAGAAAUGGAAAUUCACACGUAAGUGGUACACUUGUGUUUUUAUUGCUUUGUCCACAGUGGAGGAGGGCUCCGUAAAGUUGUUUUUUAUUUUAUUUUCAGCGAUUCCUUGGCUGCUGAAUGAGGUUCCUGACCUGGCUGAAUGGUCUCGUAAGCUGGCAGCUUGCUCAACUUAUGAUAAGUGCAAAUGACGAGACCUGUCCAAGGGGAGAUGGUAGGCAAAGCAUCAUGGUAGGUGCUUAGUGGUUGAUUUCCUCAGAAAGGUACUUUCUUUUUAGCGUACUAACUCUGCCGCCGCAGGUAUUGGAGGUUUUUCCAAGAUGAGGCCGUGCCUCUUUGAGGAGGAGGAAAGAUUGCCAAUCUCGGGACCAAGUUUUGAUAAAACACAGAAGGAAUCAUCGAAGGGCGAGGAUACUCGUAGUGAGGUAAGCCCUGCUCGGAGGGUCAAAAAAGAUGUGUUAGUCGAUCCUGCGGGCUGUAAGGUACUUUGAGGGACAUUCGAGGCCAGGGGCCAAGCAAAUCCAGUGGAGCAUCGGGUGGCUGCCCUCCCAUCGGGAGUAGUUUUACUGAGACCGAUGAGGCCAAGCCAGUAAAUGUGUGCUCAAUUUGCGACUAAGUGCAUCAGCUUAAUUCCAUGGUGAGUUUUGGUAGUCGGCACAAACCCUCCAUUUUUUUUUAUUUCGUGCCUUCCCUUUUUUAUUGAGCUCCCUUCUUGCAGGCUUUUGACAAGCUCAAGUACAAGCUACUUAGUCGUGAAGCCAGGCUGCAGAAAGUAUUGGAUGGGGAGAAAUCCAUUAGGCUUCUUUGUAAGAAGAGGGGAGAUGAGUUGGACCACCUGUUGUACAAGGCGAACUGAAGUCGGAACUACAAAAGCUAUCUCGAAAGACAAGUAACCUUCAUUUUGUGUUUAUCUAUGCUCCCUCUUCUGCUUUCGGAGAUUAAUAUUCUGAUAUUCCAGUUGAAGAAUAAAACGGAAGAGCUGGAAUGACUUUAGGGCAAAGUUGGUCGGGUUAAACGCGAGUGUAACGAGCUAAAGGCUCAAGCAGAUGCACAAGUUGCUGCCAAGAAGGAUGCUUUGGCCAAGGCUUCCGCCCUCGAAGUGCAACUCUGGAAUGCUCGUGCAAACAAUUCGGUCCGAACGAGUAUGAUUGCGGGGCUCUAGUCCAAGCUUCUAAAGAUGAAGGCCGAGGUUGUAGAUACUCGGGCUGAAGCUGAAGAGAUCAGAACCAAGGCUGAUAGAAAGGUGGUCGUCUAUUUGCGAGAUGCUACUAAUGCUCAAACUGAGCUGAAAUGGGCCCUCGACUAGAAGAGUAGGUGCAACGAGUAUGUCAGGUGUAAAUCUCAGAGGGAAACUUUCGAGGAGAUCAAUGCCAGGGGCUUUAAUCUCUCGAAAGAGAUAGAGCAGGCAAAAGCGGAUGAAUGUGACGUUAAGUUCCUUCUUUCCAAUGCCGAAGAUAGCGAGUAAGAGAUCGACGAGCCAUAGUCCCCGAGUGGGAUGCAGAUUAGGCCUUUCUUUUCUUAAUUUGUGCAUAGUGCUUUAAGAGAAUAUUGUAAAUGGAUUUUUGUAUUUUUUUCUCAUAUAUGCAUAAGAGGAAACCUUGCGGUUUCAUUUUUCAUGUACUUCCCUUUGUCAGCCUUUAGCCACACGAAUGUCUCUUCGAGUUAAAAGGAAAUUCUCAGAUUUAUAGUACAGCCCUAGGGCUCAUUGGCCUGGCCCGUCUGCUCUUAUGCGCUCGGUCGGUACGACCUUUUAGUAUAAGCCAGUGUUUGAGCUCUUAUGCUUUUUCUCUUAGGAAUAUUUAGUUAACUAUUUUGGAUUCAGUCUCCGAGUCGAGUUUUGACUCGUCCUCAUUGACCCUUAUGUUUUUUAAUUUAAAGUUGGCCCUUCGGCUCUUACGCAUUUAGUCGGUACAACCUUUUAUAUGGGCUGGUGGCAGUGGCUCUUACGCAUUGGGUCGGUAUGACCUUUUAUAUAGGCUGGCAGUAGUGGCUCUUACCCACUGGGUCGGCACGACCUUUUAUAUGGGUUUUAUUUUUCCCUCCUUAAGGUCUUUUUGAAAUUGUGUUUGCCUGAUCUUUGACGGUUCGAUAUAACUCUUGAUUGUGAGUCGUUAUAUGGUGAUGAUCGAGCACCUCGGGAGGUUUUGCUCGAUGGCUGAGUGUUUCGAAGCCUAUAGUUUGGAGCUGACAUGGUUGAAGCUCUUUUGCCUAUGUUGAGGGUAGCCCAUUUAACCGGUUCUUUUCGAAGUACAUUCGAAGUAAUUGAAGGCCUUUGCUUUUAUAGCGACGGUCGGGCAUCCCCGAGUCGCAUUAGUUUGGCUAGUACAACCUUGCGACUAUAGUCAUUGUGUUUGGCCGGAGCCUUUCAGUCCCCGAUGAAGUUGUUUCGGCGCCUAUAUCGAGGGUAUACUUUUUAGAGGUCUUACAAGUUCGAUAUAUAGCCUUAACUUUAAGAUCAGGAUUAUGCCUUUUGUAAGGUUUUAUAUGUUUUUGCAUGCCUUUGUGGUCUUACAGUAUGGUUCAUGCCUUGCUUGAGGUCUUAUAGAUAUUGUUGUUGCCUUAUAUAGGUCUUACGAGACCAAGGCUUCCCACAUGGGGUCUUAUGGCCUCGGUUUCUUGAUAAGUUGAUGGGGGUGGCAAUUGGCGGCAGUCCCCGAGUCAUCAAAAGUUUCUUGGCUCGGUAGCCAUUCCUUGUAAACUUGGUAUUGCCUCAUCGAGGGCUUACGAGUUUGAAGCUCCGACCUAGAGGUCAUAUGGUUUCGAGUUGUUGACGUCUUUCCCUGAGUGUUCAGGAUGUUUUUUGGUCCUUUUUUGCAAAAACAUACUAAGCUUCUUUGAUUACUUGGUACAAGUAUACACAUUUUCACUAUUAAAGGCUUGGUUAUUCUAUAUGGACACAGUUCGUUUGAGUGUUUGGACCUGUACAUUAUUUUCCUAUCGAAACCUCGUUCAGCACAUCUUGGCUUCUCCGAGGAGGUGACCUUCUGGGGGGUUGCCCCCAAUAUUCAAGGUUGAUUGAAAAAGAAGCCUUGAAUACUGUUGAGUCUUCCUUAGGUAGCAUAUAGAUGUUGCCUCGUUAAAAACCUUGCCGGUAAACCCUUCUUUGGAUAAAAACCUGGUCGAAGGAAAAUAGUGCAAUGUAUGAUUUUGGAACCUAAGUCCUUCGAGUUGGAGAGCGCUUCGGCCGUUUCCAUCGGAUACCUGCAUUCAAGUUAGUAUAAAAUGUAACUAAAAAAGGGAGAUGACCAUACCUUAGUGCUGACGGUGCUUCAGACCUCGAUGUGAUUCAAUCAUUUUUUUUUAGGACUCGGUACGAUCCUUCAUUUUGUUUAGUCAGGCAUAGACGAGAAUGUAGCUUUCUAUCGCUAUCUGACUGUUUUCUUAUCCUUCAGCUCCUUUGAUGGUGGAGGUAUUUGUGUUGGUGCCACAUCGUGCAUCGCGAACAUCCUUUUUGCCGCAUGUUGUUCCCCAUAAACGGUUUUUACCCUAUCCUUUGUCGGGAAUUUCAUCAUUUGAUGGAGGGUGGAUGGUAUUGAUCUCAUACAAUGUAUCUAUGGCCUCCCGAACACGGCGUUGUACCUCAUGUCUCCUUCGAUGACAUGGAAUUUGGCAUUUUGGGUUGUGCCGACCACGUUGACCGGGAGGGUAAUUUGCCCUUUCGUUGUUUUGCUCGCCAUGUUGAACCCGUUGAGGACUCGAGAGUUGGGCACGAUUUGGUCAAGCAGUCCGAGCUGCUCUACCACCCUCGACAUAAUAAUAUUGGCUGAGCUACCUGGAUCCACAAGUACACGUUUAAUUUGAAAUGUAUUUACAAGGAAAGAGAUUACCAGUGGUUGUAAGGCUGAGACAAGGUCUCGGGUCUCAAUGUCCUCGUCACUGAAUGUGAGAGCGUCCUCGGGUAUGUAACCUCUAGUUCGCUUUUCUCUGGUGAUGGAUAUUUUUAUUCUUCUGAUCAUCGGUUCUUGUGGAUCAUCGAUGCCUCAUAAGAUCAUGUGGAUGACAUGUUGCGGCUUAUUUGUUUCAUUCUUCUUGGUCACCUCUCUUUCCCGAAAUUGAUUUUUGGCCCGAUCGCUGAGGAAUUCUCGGAGGUGACUUUUGCUGAGUAAUUGGGCUACUUCUUCCCGAAGUUGCUGGCAAUUUUUGGUCAUGUGACCAUGCGUGUUUGGAAAUUCACACACUAAGUUAUGGUUUCUUUGCGAAGGAUCUGACUCUACAGGCCUUGGCCACCUGGUGUCUCUGAUUUUCCUGAUGGCGAAUAUGAUGUCUAAAACGUCGACGUUGAAGUUGUAUUCCGACAGGCGGGGUGCCUCCGUCGGCCCUGUGUGCCUAUCCAAUCCAGCCCUGCUAACAAGUCCACGAGGAUUCCGUUCGUGAUCCAUCAUCUGGUCGUUACAGGGUAUGUUUCGCCUUGGGGCGUUUCUUCUAUCUUCAGUGUAUGGUUGGUAUAUCUCUUUAUUCGGCUUUGACUCCUUUGUCAGAAGCCUUCUAGAAUAAAUCGAGCUCGAGGGGGCUCCUAGUUGGUCGUCUUUGACCCUGAUAUUUUAUUGGUAUCGGUUGUGGACGUCCGACCAAGUCACGGCGGGAUAUUCGACUAAGUUCUGCUUCAGCUGAUUCGAAGCUACCGAGCUUUGCUCGUUCAAUCCUUUAGUGAAGGCUUGCAUCGCCCUGUCGUCGGAGACCGGUGGUAGUUCCAUUCAUUCCAUUUGAAAGCGAGAUACAAACUAUCGCAGCUUCUCGUUCUCCUUUUGCUUGAUUUUGAAGACGUCGGAUUUUAUUGUAGCUACUUUGAUGGCACCAGCAUGUGCCAUUAUGAAAGAGUCUGCCAGCAUGGCAAAUGAAUCUAUUGAGUUUAGGGACAGGUUGUGAUACCACAUCAUUGCCCCUUUUGAAAGCAUUUCUCCAAACUUUUUCAGUAGGACGGACUCGAUCUCGCCGUCCUUUAGUUUGUUUCCCUUCACUACACAAGUGUAAGUAGUGACGUACUCGUUAGGGUCUGAGGAUCCGUUGUACUUCGGAAGGUCGGGCUUUCUGAACUUUUUUGGAAUGGGUUUUGGGGCCACUUCCUAUGGGAAUGCCUUUUGUACAAACUUCUUCGAAUAUACACCUUUCAGAAUCGGGGGUGCACCUGGAAUUUGAUCGACCCUAGAAUUGUAGGUCUAUACAUUCUUGUCGUUGGCUUCUAUCUUUUUCUCGCCCGACUCGAUCCUCUUUGUGAGGUCCUCAAACAUCUUUAUGAUGGCGGGGUCGGCUGUCGACCCGUUGUUGCUUGAUCUUUCUGGUACCUGCUCAACUCAGGGAGUCGUUUCCCGAGCUACCGUGCUGGGAGUCUUUUGGUGGCUUUGCAGCUUAGCAAUCGCCAACUGCUGUGCUUGUAACAUUUCGAAGAUGACGUGAAGGCUAACCCUUUGUUCUUCCUGAGUCGGGGUUUAUUGAACUUCUUGUUGAUCUUCUUGGUGUAUGCUCUUAUUGGUGUGGGAGCUUAUUUCGAUGUGUUGGGCGUUGCGCGAGACCAUGUACACGGGAAUUGGUUUUGGUGCAUUCUCAGGGUUUCGUGGUAGUACACCAACACCUGGAACAUCCACACCAUUUUUUCCAUGGUCUUCAAGAUUGUUGUUUUCACGUGCAUUUACCGUGUUAGACAUUUUGACCUUAAAUCAAUGAUCUUGGACAAGAAAAAGUGUGAAAGGUAACUUGCGUUAUGUAGUAAACCAGCAAGAAAAUAAUCACUAUUAUUUUUAGCCCCACGGAGGGAGCCAAACUGUUUACCGCAAAAAUGGUAAUUAUAAUUAUAUUUGAUUUUCUGGUUCUAAAAAUACGUGAUCUACUUUUAUACUAGUUGUUAGGGAAUGGAUGCUAAGUGGGAAAUAAGAUAAUAGCUUGAAAACAAUGUGAUAAUUAAACCGAAUGGCUAAUAAUCGGGGCCUUGAGCUUGUGUAUUUGGGGCCACGAGGUCGAGUCAGAUGCCCUACCGAGAAUAGUCGAUGGAGGACUAACAGUUAUGAUAAAUUCAAUGGCGGCUCUUUAUGGCCAAUAAUAAGCAAUAAAUGAAGAACAAUAAGUAGAACACAAUAAAUGUAAGUAGUGGAGUCAAGAGAAUUUGUUAGAAAGCAGAGAGAAUGUUCUUGUAUUUUUAUAUUGUGUAUCAGAUCCCCCUACAAAAUGACAAGGAUCCCUUUUUUAUAUGAGGGGGAAUCUCAACAUAGUACUAAUGCAUUUAUUACAAAGAUAUGGGGCUGGUACAAAUAUUUAAUGCCUUGAUUCGGGUCUGAACUAGCCACUAGACUUUGUCAGCUCUAGUUACGCGCCUUGGGAACUUCCCACUUUUUCACUAGACUUUGUACUGCUCCGAGGUCGGACGUCGAUAGCCCUCGUGUGUGAAUCUCGACCAUAGCCUUAAGCCUUUCAAAACGUGCUUGCGAGGCAUCGUAAUGACCGAAAAUUGGACUCUUCGAUUUUACCGUAUACAGAGAGAACAACAUGGUAGACAUGAUUUUAGCCAAAAAUAAUUAAAAGAAAGAGAGGAUCGAAGUGCACUCACCUUUUUUUGAGCAGCAAACCAAAUAAAGACUCUUUCUUAGCUUUUUAGAAUCAAGAACUCAAACUCCUACCACUGUAGACCUCAAAGUCGGAACGAAAUCAGAAGUUUGUUGGAAAACCCUAGCUUGAUUUUUACUACUCAAGACUAAAAUUGAUAUUUCUCUUUUUAUUAUGUGAUUUCGUGUGUAUCUUGUGUUGUUAGGUGAAAGUGUUAAAGCUACUAUUUAUAGUUGCAUUAAAAUCCCUCUAAGGUUCAACAGAAUUCAAACUGGCAGUGGAAGGUGAUGGAUGGGUGAUGAUGUAAGCAUAAUUAGGUGAAAAUCUAAGAAGACAGAGGGAAAUCAGCGAGAGUUUUUACUUGAGAGGGGGAAGUUGACUGUUGAAGGCAAGAAACAUUGGGUAAGAGCUUCAUUAUCCAGAGGUUGCUUCGUUUGACCUCUAGACCAAGAAUAAUCAUGAUACCCCCGGGAGACACCAUGCAUGUCAUGGAUUUAACCAAUCAUAGAAGGAUUUCUGAAUAUUUGACAUUGCAUCGUUUGGUCUAGCAUUUCGGAUUUGGGGAUCUUGAAUCUCCUAGAUGAAACUAGCAAAGGUUCAAGGAGAAUCAUGGAUAAGGAAGACAAAGGGGAUGAGUAGUGGUCAUGAUUCAUGACCUUGCACUAAUUUGUACAAGUUUCUUUAACUGAUGGGGUCUGGUGAGUUGAGAAAGUAGAGAGCAAAAGGGGAAAGGGAAUGUCUGUGUUGGGUGGAAAAUGAUUUAGGGGUUGAGUGAUUUGGGGUUUGUCUCCACGGUUAAGACUGAGAGACGGAACAGCAAUUUAAAAGGUUUAAUGAGGAAAAACGAUGAUCGUUGGAUCCUUGUAAUCCAACUAAUGAGAUAAAAUCUAGUAGGGGUAUUAAAAUAAGGAGAAAAGUAAUAAUAAAUCUGGUCCAUUGAUGGCAUGGAUCGACGGUCAAGAUUAAGUGUGUUUGUUUUUUGAGUGAGUAGGUCGGGUGACGUGGUGAGCUUAAAUUGGCUUAGGGCUAGUGACACAGAUUUCCAUAGUGUAAAGAGAGGGGUAGACUUGGACUGGGUUAGAUGGAAUUGAGCUUGGGUAUUGGGAUGUUAUUGAUUUAAACAAUAGUCAUUUUGUGUUAAAUUGCACACUUGCAAAUGUAGUCAUUUGAUCUUUAUCCUUUUAAUGAUUAAUUUAAUUAAACUUAAAUAAUUCCAAUAAAAUACAGUAGAAAUUAUAUUAAUCAAAUACAUUAUUAAUUACUGUAAUUAAUUUAUUAAUUUACUAAAAUAUCUUAUUUUUCUUUUUGCUACAUUAAUUUCGGAUUUAUUUUAAAAUAACAGGCUAUGUUGCCAAAAAUUGAGAAAUAACUUUAUUAAAUUAAUUAUAUAUCUAUGUGAUGAAUAUGAAAAUUAUUUCUUUCAAUAAAAAGAAGAACAAGACAAACAUAUGAUUAAAAAUCCCAGUCCUAAUCCAAGUUCAAGUCCUAAUCCAAGUCCAGAAAGGUCUCAAAGCUCAGGGAAAGAUGGUAAUUACGAAGAUGAAAACCACCUAAAUUAUCAAGAUGCUCAAGAUUCAUACGAAGUUGAUUCAGGAAUGAGUUUUCAUUCAAUAGCUCUACAUAAUUUAGACACGCAAAAGGAAGCAAGGUCUCAGUCAAAAGCAAUUGAGAGAAACAAAGACAAAGAAAGAGCAAUAAUGCUGGUAUCCCACUAGGCGUGCCAAUGCAAAAGACAAUUAAAGAAAAGAAGACGUGACAUAAAGAAAAGAAGACGUGACAUAAAGAAGAAAAAAAAUAAAGGAAAAAAGAUGCGACAAAAGGUAGUGUUAGUGGUGCUACAAGACAAGCUGAAAAUUUGAGUGGAAGAAAAAGUCAGAGCUAGAAGAUUUUUCGGACUAAUAAGUUUAUGAAACAACAUAUUUUUACUAAAUACAUAAGCUUCCAUAUUACAACCCCAUAUAACCAAAAAGGCUCUAGAAAUGCCAGAUAAAUUGGACAAUACUAAAGAAUUACAAAAGUUUCUAGGAAUAGUAAAUUAUGCAUGAAAUUUUAUAAAAGACUUAGGAAAAAUAGCACGACCACUAUAUGCUAAGACAGGCUUUACAGGACAAAAGUAUUACAACACAGAGGAUAUUAAAUUAGUACAAAAAAUUAAAGAAAAAUAAAAAGUAUUCCUGAUUUAAAUAUGCCUUUAGAAACAGACUACUUAAUUAUAGAAACAGACGGUAGCUUUGAAGGAUGGGGAGCAAUUCUGAAGGCAAAACCAAAUAAAUAUAGUGAUAAGAAUACAAAAAAAAUAUGUGCUUACCAAAGUGGUAAAUAUAGAGAAAAAGGAAAUAUGAGUAGUGUAGAUGCAGAAAUAUUAGCUAUAAUAUACGGAUUAAAUAGUUUUAAAUAAUAUAUAUUUAAUAAACAAAAAGUAGCAAUUAGAACUGACUAUGAAACUAUAGUUAAGUUUCACCAAAAGAUAAACGCAAAGAAUAGUAGUACAAGAAGAUGGUUAAAUUUUAUUGAUACUAUAUUAAUAUAUAAUUGGGUUUUUGAACAUAUUAAAGGAAAAGAUAAUAAUCUAGCAAAUUAGUUAAGUAGGCUUAAAACUACUGUCAAUUUUUACAUGUACAGCAUGAGACAACAGUUCCCAAGACUGAAGACAAGGGAAAGGGCAUUCAAGGCUCACCCUUAGACAAAUACUUGCAGACAGUAUUAGGUAAUCUUCAUUUUAAGCCACAGCCUUUUGCAGAACAAACUAAUAUGGAAGGAUAAGUUUUGGAAAGCAUAAUUUAAUAUUCUUUCCUCCAUCAAACAUAUCAUUUAGAAUUUUACCAGAAUGUGUCAUAGAUAGACCUCAAAGAUAUUUAAUCGAUAACUUAUGGAUAACAUACAAUAAAAAAGAUAUUAAAUAUUUUAUAGCGGCUUUUAAUGCCCUAGGACAGCAUUUUACAGACAAAAACCAAGAUAAAAGAUUUAAAUACUAUAUAGUUAUACAUGGUAAGACAAAUGGUAUUUUUCAGACAUGGUUAGAAGUACUAGACUCUAUUAAAGAUUUAGAAAAAAAGCUUUUCAAAGGUUUUAAUGACUUCACUGAAGCAUUAGACUAUGCAAGAGGAAUACUAAGACCAAACUACUAUAUCUCCCGGGAACUCAGACAAAACCCAGAAAAAACCCCCCAAUAUAACAUCCAAAAAGAUAACGAUAAGAUAAUAUUCUAUGAUCAUUGUUGAUCAAUGACAAAAGCCUUCAAACGAAUAAACCAGAAGAAUGAAAUCCUGGCACAGGAAAAAACAAAACUUAUGGAGCAAGUGAAGGUACUAGAACAGAGAGUACAUGCAUUAAGAUUUGAAUUGACACAAUCCCAGACUUAAGUUAUUUCUCAACAAGACGUAGAGAUGAGCAGUCCAAAACAGAGUAAUCCAUCUCAAGAAAAAAUGGAUGAGAAGGGUGUGCAUUCCCCAAUGAAUGCAGCAAAAUCUACUGUAUCGGAUAAUGAUACAGCUAGUCCAGCUCAAACGGUGACCGGUAAAGACACAUCAAAUCCUUUUAUAGCUGUCACUUUGCCAAAAAAGUGAAGAUGAAGGUUCAUCAAGACGAAGACUACCUAGAAAUUAACAUAGGGAGAAGCAUUAAAAAGGAAGGGUAUAAUUUCUAAAAAGAAAAAAAAAAUGAGAAAAUAGAAAACAUAAUUAAACAAACAUUAGAAAAUUACUUUCAAGAAAAAGAAGAACAAGGCAAACAUAUGAUUAAAAAUCUCAGUCCUAAUCCAUGUCCAAGUUCGAAUCCAAGUCCAGAAAGGUCUCAAAGCUCAAGGGAAGAUGAUAAUUACGAAGAUGAAAACCACCUAAAUUAUCAAGAUGCUCAAGAUCCAUACGAAAAUGAUUCAGGAGUGAGUUUUGAUUCAAUAGCUCUACAUAAUUUAGAUACGUAAAAGGAAGAAAGGUCUCAGUCAAAAGCAAUUGAGAGUAGCAAAGACAAAAGAAAGAGCAAUAAUGUUGGUAUCCCACUAAGCGUGCCAAUGCGAAAUACAAUUAAAGAAAAGAAGACGUGACAUAAAGAAAAGAAGACGUGACAUAAAGAAAAAAAGAAAUAAAGGAAAGACGAUGUGACAAAAGGUAGUGUUAGUGGUGCUACAAGACAAGCUGAAUUUUUUAGUGGAAGAAAAAGUUACAAGCACUAAAGGAUUCUCUGCUCAAGCCAUGUGAAGAUGGGGCCCAAUGAAGUACCCUACAAGGCGGGACAAGAAAGAUUUCUGGAAAUGUUUGAAGUCCAUUUUUCAAAUCCGUUUCAAAAACUUGGCUAUAAAAAGGAGAAGAAAGAAGAAGAGAAGCAAGAUACAAGUCCAAGAAAGAACACUCUCAAGAAAACCAUCCAAACAUCUACCUUCAUCACCCACCAUUCUCCAAAACACCUUGUAAUAUAGAUUUAUAAAAUAUUUCCUUAUGUAUGCAUUAGUAGUUCCUCCUUCAAUCCUGUAAAAUAAAUAAAUCUCUACACUUAUGUGUGUUCAUUUUUAAUUACAAAGUCCAGUAAGCUCUUUCGGGUUUCCCGAAAGGGAAAUUUCUCUCCUGGAAACAUUUAAGUUACUUAUUUUUAUCUAAAUUAUGUUUCUAGAUAUUACCCCUGUUUUAUUUACAGUUUUAGGUUAUUUUGUAUAGCUUUAUGCUUAUUAUUCCUCAAUUAUUAGUUUGAUUAUUGUCACGAUCCGGAUUUUUCACCCUCGGAAGUCGUGAUGGUGCCUACUAAUGUGAGCUAGGCAAGCCAAUUAUUGAACCAUCUACCUUUUUACCAAAUUUAUUCUCUUUAACAAUUACGAAGAAAUAACAUUUAAACAACAGAAUUUAACAUAAGCGGAAGAAAACAAUAAGCCAACUCAACAUGAAUAUCUAUUACAAUUGUUUGAGUCUCGACUACCCAGAACUGGUGUCACAGUUUCAUAGACGGUCUAAGAAUACUACAAAUAAAGGUCUGAAAGAAUUUAAUAUAACACUGUCUCUGGAAAUACAUGUAAGAAACAGACAGGUAGAUAGAAAGGAAACGCCAAGGCCUACGGACGCCUGCAGGGCUACUUCGGGUCGCCUGAUGAACAAGAGUCAGCAAUCUCACUGCGGUCUAAAGUCUACAACAUUGGGGUCUGCACAAAAUAGUGCAGAGUGUAGUAUCAGCACACCCGACCCCAUGUACUGGUAAGUGCCUAGCCUAACCUCGAUGAAGUAGUGACGAGGCUAGGACCAGACCAAAUAAAACUGUGCAGUUAUAUAAUAUACAGUAGAAAGUAAAGCAGGAACAAGCAAGUAAAGAUGGGAGGGGGAAACAUGUUGCGGGGGUAUACCAGUAUUAAUAGUAAAUCCAGAGUAACAGUCUAAGGGCAGCUUAGAGUCCACAGCAAAACAAAAGAAACUAAUAUCCAAACUAAGCACACUUGUAUCAAUAAUUGUUGCGGCGUGCAACCCGACCCCAAUAUAUAACAACAUUGUUGCGGCGUGCAACCCGAUCCACAUAUAUCAUUGUUGCGGCGUGCAACCCGAUCCACCCAUAACAUUGUUGCGGCGUGCAGCCCAAUCCAAUAUAACAUUGUUGCGGCUUACAACCCAAACAAAUAAAAAAUUGUUGCGGCGUGCAACCCGAUCCAUAUAUAAUAUUAUUGCAGCGUGCAACCCCAUCCAUAUAUAAUAUUAUUGCGGCGUGCAACCCAAUCCACAUAUAAUAUUGUUGUGGCGUGCAACCCGAUCCACAUAUAAUAUUGUUGUGUUGUGUAACCCGAUCCACGUAUAAAAUCAACAACAAUCAUAACAAGAGUCUCGACGAGGGAUGAAUAAGGCCUACACUAUCCCGGCAAGGGAGAAACACCUAUAACCAAACUUGUUACAACAUCUAACCACCUCAGCUAUAAACAAACUUGUUAUAACAUCUAACUACCUCAACUAUAACCGAACUUGUUCCCCGAGAGUAACCAUAAUCCUUACCCUACACAAAGAGUCAUCAACCUAAGCAUCUGUAAUAUCAAUUAAGAACAAAUUGCAAGGGAAUCACAACUCGACAAUAGCCCGGCAAGGGGGCACAUAAUGAUCUCUUCUUUUUCUCAUUUUUACUUCACAAUUCACUUCACAACUCGAGCCAAUGCUCUAGAGGUUCAAUUAUAACUUAUACUUUCACAAUUCAUUAUACAACUAGAGCCAACGCUCCUCAAUGUUCAUAGGUCACAAUUCUUUCCACAACUUUACACAACAAAUGGAAAUCCUCACCAAGACAUGAAUAAUACAACGAAGUCAUGAAAAUCACAAUAUAAGACUCACGGUCAUGCUCGACACCAAAGUAUAGAUACUCGUCACCAUGCCUAUACGUCGUACUCAACAAGAAACAAAUAGCAAAUAGGACACAACUCCUAAUCCCUCAAGCUAAGGUUAGACCAAACAGUUACCUCGAAUUUCCACGGCCAACUCAAGCCUCAAACAUCGCCUAUCCUUUCGAAUUUGGCUCCAAAUCAAUUAUAUCUAGACAUAAUCGACUUAAUAACAUCAAUAAACGUUAAACAAUCCAAUUCAAAUGCUUAAUUAUAGCUUUCUAAUCAUUCUUCCCAAAAAGUCAAAAAUAGACCCCGGGCCCGCUUGGUCAAAACACGAGGUCCGGACCAAAACCCAAUCACUCAUUCACCAACGAGCCCGAAUAUAUAAUUUAUUUUGAAAUCCAACCCCAAAACGAGGUCAAAUUCCCAAAUAAUAAAAAAGCCCUAACUCUAACCAAAUCCCUAAUUUUCUACCCUUAAUCUCAUGUUUUAGGCCUAGAAAUCUAGUAGGUGUUAAUAAAAAUGGAAGAAAACGAGCUUAGGAUUACAUACCUAUGAAGCUAUGGUGAAGUUCCUCUUCAAAAAUCGCCCAAGAGGUGUGGAGAAGAUGAAGUUUAUGAAAAAUGGUGGAAAUCCCGUAAUGUAUUUUAUUUUUGGAACUUAAAAUAACUGGGCGAAUUUGGUCUGAGAGACCUUCGCGUUUGCGUAAACGGGCUCGCGUUCAUGGAGAUUAACUCCUCGAGCCAUCGCAUUCGCGGCCAGGUGGUCGCGUUCGCAUAGGGUAUAAUAUCCCUCCCCCUGCCCAGACUCAUAAGCCUUCGCGUUAGCGUUACCAGGCCCGCGUUCGCGAAGGGAAGACCCCCUUUAGCUUCGUGUUCGUGACCUGGGUCACGUGUUCGCAUAGAAAGAAAUUUCCUACAGCAUGAAUAACUCAUCGCGUUCGCGAGGAUCCUCCCGCGAACGCGAAGAAGAAAAUACCAACACACUAUAACCGAAAAACCUGCAACUUUUAUGAGUUCAAAAACCUUCCGAAACUCACCCGAGCCCUCGGGGCUCCAAACCAAACAUACGUACUAACUGAAAAAUAUCAUAUGAACUUAUUUGUGCAAUCAAAUCACUAAAAUAUCCCCUUAAACAACAAAUUAAUCCUCAAAAUCAAUGAAAUAUUUCAAAACUUCUUAAAACAUCAAAUUUUGCCUAUAAGGUCCGAAUCACGUAAAAUGACACCCGUUUCUUACCAAACUUCACAGAAUUAUCUUAAAUCAUAUAUAAGACUUAUAUCGGGCACCAGAACCAAAAUAUGUGCCCGAUACCAACAUGUUCUAAUCAAAAUUCAUUUCCAAAUCCUUUAAACAAUUUUAGAAAACAAUUUUCUUUGAAAAUUCAUUUCUCAGGCUUGGGACCUCGGAAUUCGAUUUCGGGCAUACGCUCAAGUCCCAUAUUUUCCUACGGACCCUCCGAGACCGUCAAAUCACGGGUCCGGGUCCGUGUACCCAAAAUGUUGACCGAAGUCAAAUUUAUUCAUUUUAUAGUCAAAACUUAUUAUUUUUCACAGAUUUUCACAUAUAAGCUUUUCGACUACGUGUCCGGACUGCGCACGCAAAUUAAGGUGAUGCUAAAAGAGGUUUUUUAAAGCCUCGAAAUGCAAAAUUCAUUUUAAAAACAAGUGAUGACCUCUUGGGUCAUCACAUUCUCCACCUCUAAAGCAACUGUUCGUCCUCGAACGGACAGAAGAAGGAAGUACCUGAGUCGGGGAAAAGAUGGGGAUAACGGCUUCGCAUAUCGGACUCGGACUCCCAGGUCGAUGCCUCAAGAGGCUGACCUCCCCACUGAACACGAACAGAAGGAAAACUCUUUGAUCUCAACUGACAAACCUGCCGGUCUAGAAUAGCUACCGGCUCCUCCUCAUAAGACAAGUCCUUGUCCAACUGGACAGUGCUAAAAUCUAACACGUGGGAUAGAUCGGCGUGAUACUUCUGAAGCAUGGACACAUGAAACACUAGAUGUACGGCUGAUAAGCUCGGUGGUAAUGCAAGUCUAUAAGCAACCUCUCUUACUCGAUCAAGAAUCUCAAACGGGCCAAUGAACCUAGGGCUAAGCUUUCCCUUCUUCUCAAAUCUUAUCAUGCCCUUCAUAGGCGACACUCUAAGCAAUACCCGCUCACCGACCAUGAAUGCCAAAUCAUGAACCUUGCAGUCGCCAUAACUCCUUUGCUUGGACUGAGCUGUACGAAGCCUAUCCUGAAUAAUCCUGACCUUGUCCAAGGCAUCCUGAACCAGAUCCGUACCUAAUAACUUAGCCUCUCCCUGCUCAAAUCAUCCAAACUGAUACCGACACCGCCUACCAUAUAAAGCCUCAUAAGGAGCCAUCUAGAUACUCGACUGGUAACUGUUGUUGUAGGCAAACUCCGCUAAAAGCAAAAACUAAUCCCACGAGCCACCAAAGUGAAUGACACAAGCUCGGAGCAUAUCCUCCAAAAUCUGAAUGGUCCGUUUGGACCGCCCGUCCGUCUAAGGAUGAAACGUUUUGCUCAACUCAUCCCGCGUGCCCAACUCUCACUGAACUACCCUCCAUAAGCGGGAGGUAAACUGCGUACCUCGGUCCGAAAUGAUAGACAGGGGCACACCGUGAAGGGGAACAAUCUCCUGGAUAUGGAUCUCAGCUAACCUCUCAGAAGAUAUGAGACUGCCACAGGAAUGAAAUGCGCUGACUUGGUCAGCCUAUCAACAAUGACCCAUACUGCGUCGAACUUCUUCUGAGUCCGUGGGAGUCCAACAACAAAGUCCAUAGUGAUACGCUCCCAUUUCCACUCAGGAAUCUCAAUCUUUUGGAACACACUGCGAGGCUUCUGAUGCUCAUACUAACAUGCUGAAAAUUCAAAUACCAAUCCACAUACGCAACGAUAUCCUUCUACAUUCUCCUCCAUCGAUAAUGCUGCCACAAAUCCUGAUAAAAUCAACUCUCGGAGUCCAUCCACAUCGGGCACACAAACUCGACCCUGCAAUCUCAGGACUCCAUCAUCACCUAAGGUAACCUGCUUUCCACCUCCGUGCUGUACUGUGUCUCUAAGGACACACAAAUGGGGAUCAUCAUACUGUGGAGCUCGGAUACGCUCCAAUAAUGAAGAACGAGUGACUGUGCAAGCUAACACACGGCUGGUCUCAGAAAUAUCCAACCUUAGGAACUGAUUGGCCAAAGCCUGAACAACCAAAGCAAGCGGCCUCUCACCGACCGGAAUAUAAGCAAGACUGCUCAUACUGGAUGACUUCCUACUCAAAGCAUAGACCAAUACAUUGGCCUUUCCUGGAUGAUAUAAGAUGGUGAUAUCAUAAUCCUUCAACAACUCCAACCACCUCCUCUGCCUCAAAUUCAACUCCUUUUGCUUGAACAAAUACUGAAGACACUUGUGAUCCAUGAACACCUCACAUGCCACGCCGUACAGAUAAUGCCUCCAAAUCUUCAACGCGUGAACAAUGGCUGCCAACACCAAAUCAUAAACCGGAUAGUUUUUCUCAUGAAUCUUCAACUAUUGCGAAGCAUAGGCAAUGACCUUUCUAUCCUACAUCAACACUGCACCAAGUCCGAUACGAGAUGCAUCCCAAUAGACUGUAUAAGGCCCUGAACCUGUGGGCAAAACCAACACCGGUGCCGUAGUCAAAGCUGUCUUGAGAUUCUGAAAGCUCGCCUCACAGUCGUCCGACCAUUUGAACUAGGCACCCUUCUGGGUUAACCUGGUCAUCGGGGAUACGAUAGAUGAAAACCCCUCCACGAACCAAUGAUAGUAGCCUGCCAAACCCAAGAAACUCCAAAUCUCUGUAGCUGAUGCUGCUCUAGGCCAGUUCUUGAUUGCCUCAAUCUUCUUCGAAUCAACCUGAAUACCCUCUGCCAAUACAACAUGACCCAGAAAUGCAACUGAACUCAACCAGAACUCACACUUUGAGAACUUAGAAUAUAACUGACUAUCCCUUAAGGUCUAAAGAACCACUCUAAGAUGCUGCUCGUGCUUCUCCCGGCUGCGGAAAUAUAUCAAAAUAUCAUCAAUGAAGAGUAUUACGAACGAGUCCAAAUAAGGCAUGAACACUCGAUUCAUCAAAUCCAUAAAAGUUGUUGGGGCAUUUGUUAACCCGAAUGACAUCACCAAGAACUCAUAAUGCCCUUACCGAGUGCGGAAAGCUGUCUUAGGGACCUCGGAUGCCCUAACCUUUAACUUAUGGUAGCUAGAUCUCAAGUCAAUCUUCGAAAAUACUUUGGCACCCUGAAGCUGAUCAAACAAAUCAUCAAUCCUUGGCAAUGGAUACUUAUUCUUGAUUGUAACCUUGUUCAACUACCGGUAAUCAAUACAUAUUCUUAUCGAUCCGUGCUUCUUCUUAACAAACAACACUGCCGCACCCAAAGGCGAAACACUCGGCCUAAUGAAACCCUUCUCAAAAAAGUCUUGCAACCGCUCCUUCAACUCUUUCAACUCAGACGGGGCCAUAUGAUACGGCGAGAUAGAAAUAUGCUGAGUGUCCGGAGCAAAAUCAAUGCAAAAAUCAAUAUCCCUAUCGGGUGGCAUACCCGGCAGGUCUGAAAGGAAUACCUCAGGAAACUCGCAAACAAUGGGCAUAGAAUCAAUAGAAGGAACCUCAGCACUAGAAUCACGAACAUAUGCUAAAUAGGCUAAACACCCUUUUUCGACCAUAUGCCGAGCCUUCACAUAAGAGAUAACACUACGGGUAGAAUGACCAGGAGUCCCUCUCCACUCUAAACGAGGCAAACCUGGCAAGGCUAAGGUCAUGGUCUUGGCAUGACAAUCCAAGAUAGCAUGGUAAGGUGAUAACCAAUCCAUCCCCAAUAUGACAUCGAAACCACCAUGUCUAGAAGAAGCAAAUCUACACGAGUCUUAAGACCCUUAAUCACAACUAUACAUGAACGAUGGACACAAUCUACCACAACAGAAUCACCCACCGAUGUAGACACAUAUACAGGAGCACCCAAAGAACCACUAGGCAUGACCAGAUGCAGUGCAAAAUAAAACCGAAGCUUCUCUACUACAAACCAGAACAGUACCUGCACUCCACCUCUAGCAUCUCUACCUCCACCUCUAGCAUUUGAGCGGGCUGGAUGAGUCCCUCAAUGAGCUCCUCACUCUCUCUCACAAUGGGAAGUAUGAUAAGAGCAUAACGAGCCAAGUCGGUGAAUCUCAUCUCGUACUGAGUAACAAUCAUAGAACCCUGCUGGAGAUGCUUGAACUACCUUCGAUAGGCCUCUCUCUGAGUGAUGGGGAGAAACUCCUCUAGAAAUAGCUGAGUAAACUACUCCCAAGUCAAAGCUGGUGAUCCGGCUGGUCUAGCCAAAGAGUAAUCUCUCCAUCAAGUCUUGGUGGAUCCAGACAAGCGAAAAGUAGCAAAGUCGACUCUAUAGGUGUCAACUAUCCCCAUAUUCCUGAGAACCUCGUGACGGCUAUCAAGAAAAUCCUAGAGAUCCUCAGAAGAUGCACCGCUGAAAGUAGUAGUGAAGAGCUUGGUGAAACCUAUCCAACCUCCAUGAAGCCUCCAAAGACGCAGCUGAUCUAUCACCGGUUUACUGUUGUUCGGCUAAAGAAGCAGUACAUGACCUUGCUAUUUGCGAAAGGACAAGAGUAGAGGUUUCAACUUAGCAUUGAGAGAUCAAAAUUGCACGACAGGAAAGAAUAGAUGUGAGGUUUUUCCUAACUCCGUAGCCUUUGGGGGAUAAAUACAGACGUCUCCAUACCGAUCCCUCAAACUCUACUAAGCUUGUCUGUGAAUUGUGAGACCCAUGUAACCUAGAGCUCUUAUACCAACUUGUCACGACCCGGAUUUUCCACCCUCGGGAGUCGUGAUGGCGCCUACUAAUGUGAGCUAUUCAAGCUAAUUAUUGAACCAUCUACCUUUUUACCAAUUUUAUUCUCUUUAACAAUUACAAAGAAAUAACAUUUAAACAACGGAAUUUAACAUAAGCGGAAGAAAACAAUAAGCCAUCUGAACAUGAAUAUCUAUUACAACUGUUUGGGUCUCGACUACCCAGAACUAGUGUCACAGUUUCACAGACGGUCUAAGAAUACUACAAAUAAUGGUCUGAAAGAAUUUAAUACAACAUUAUCUCUUAAAAUACAUGUAAGAAACAAGAAGGUAGAUAGAAAGGAGACGCCAAGGCCUACGGACGCUUGCAGGGCUACCUCGGGUCGCCUGAUGAAAAAAUAUCAGCAAUAUACUGCGGUCCAAAGUCUACAAUACUGGGGUCUGCACAAAAGAGUGCAGAGUGUAGUAUCAGCACAACCGACCCCAUCUGCUGGUAAGUGCCUAGCCUAACCUCGACGAAGUAGUGACGAGGCUAAGACCAGACUACCAAAUAAACCUGUGCAGUUAUAUAAUAUAUAACGGAAAGUAAAGCAGGAACAAGCAAGUAAAGAUGGGAGGGGGAAACAUGCUGCGGGGGUAUACCAGUAUUAACAGUAAAUCUAGAGUAACAGUCUAAGGGCAGCUUAGAGUUCACAGCAAAACAAAAGAAACUAAUAUCCAAACUAAGCACACUUGUAUCAAUAAUUGUUGUGGCGCGCAACCCGACCCCAAUAUAUAACAACAUUGUUGCGGCGUGCAACUCGAUCCACAUAUAUCAUUUUUGCGGCGUGCAACCCGAUCCAUUUAUAAUAUUGUUACGGCGUGCAACCCGAUCCACAUAUAAUAUUGUUGCUGCAUGCAAUCCGAUCCACAUAUAAAAUCAACAAAAAUCAUAACAAGAGUCUCGACGAGGGAUCAAUAAGGCUACACUAUCCCGGCAAGGGAUUCGACAGCCUAAGUAAUUACGUCCCGACAAGGGAGAAACAGCUAUAACUAAACUUGUUACAACAUCUAACUACCUCAGCUAUAACCAAUCUUGUUUCAACAUCUAACUACCCCAUCUAUAACCAAACUUGUUCCCCGAGAGUAACCAUAAUCCUUACCCAACACAAAGAGUCAUCAACCUAAGCAUCCAUAAUAUCAAUAAAGAACACAAUGCAAGGGAACCACAACUCAACAAUAGCCCGGCAAGGGGGCAACAUAAUGAUCUCUUCUCUUUCUCACAUUUACUUCACAAUUCACUUCACAACUCAAGACAAUGCUCUAAAGGUUCAAAUAUCACUUAUACUUUCACAAUUCGUUAUACAACUGGAGCCAACGCUCCUCAAUGUUCAUAGGUCACAAUUCUUUCCACAACUUUACACAACAAAUGGAAAUCCUCACCAAGACAUGAAUAAUACAACGAAGUCAUGAAAAUCACAAUAUAAGACUCACGGUCAUGAUCGACACCAACGUAUAGAUACUCGUCACCAUGCCAAUACGACGUACUCAACAAGAAACAAAUAGCAAAUAGGACACAACUCCUAAUCCCUCAAACUAAGGUUAGACCAAAUACUUACCUCGAAUUUCCACGGCUAACUGAAGCCUCAAACACCGCCUUUCCUUUCGAAUUUGGCUCCAAAUCAAUUAUAUCUAGACAUAAUCGACUUAAUAACAUCAAUAAACGCUAAACAAUCCAAUUUCAAUGCUUAAUUAUAGUUUUUUAAUCAUUCUUCCCAAAAAGUCAAAAAUAGACCCCCGGCCCGCUUGGUCAAAACACGAGGUUCGGACCAAACCCCGAUCACCCAUUCACCCACGAGCUCGAAUAAAUCAUUUGUUUUGAAAUCCGACCCCAAACAAGGUCAAAUUCCCAAAUAAUCAAAAAGCCCUAACUCUACCCAAAUCCCUAAUUUUCUACCCUUAAUCUCAUAUUUUAGGCCUAGAAAUCUAGUGGGUGUUGAUAAAAAUGGAAGAAAAUGAGCUUAGGAUUACAUACCUAUGAAGCUAUGGUGAAGUUCCUCUUCAAAAAUCGCCCAAAAGGUGUGGAGAAGAUGAAGUUUAUGAAAUAUGGUGUAAAUCCCGUAAUGUAUUCUAUUUUUGGAACAUAAAAUAACUGGGCAAAUUUGGUCUUCGCGUUUGCGUCAAGCUCAUCGCGUUCGCGAUGAGCUAGGCCUGAGAGACCUUCGCGUUCGCGUAAACAGGCUUGCAUUCGCAGAGCAUUAACUCCUCGGUCCAUCGUGUUCGCGGCCAAGAGGUCACGUUCGCGUAGCAGGAAAUUUCCUUCAGCAUGAAUAACUCAUCGCGUUCGCGAGGGUCCUCCCGCGAACGCGAAGAAGAAGAUACCAGCACACCAGAACUGAAAAAUCUGCAACUUUUAUGAGUUCAAAAACCUUCCGAAACAUAUCGGAAACUCACCCGAGCCCUCGGGGCUCCAAACCAAACAUACAUACUAACUCAAAAGCAUCAUAUGAACUUAUCGUGCGAUCAAAUCGUCAAAAUAACCCCUUAAACAACGAAUUAAACCUCAAAACCAAUGAAAUAUUUCAAAACUUCUUAAAACAUCAAAUUUUGCAUUUAAGGUCUGAAUCACGUCAAAUGACAUCUGUUUCUAUCCAAACUUCACAGAAUUAUCUUAAAUCACAUAUAAGACCUGUACCGGGCGCCGUAACUAAAAUACGAGCCCGAUACCAACAUGUUCUAAUCAAAAUUCAUUUCCAAAUCCUUUAAACAAUUUUAGAAAAUAAUUUUCUUUGAAAAUUCAUUUCUCGGGUUUGGGACCUCGGAAUUCGAUUCCGGGCAUAUGCUCAAGUCCCAUAUUUUCCUACGGACCUUCCGGGAUCGUCAAAUCACGGGUCCGUUUACCCAAAACGUUGACCGAAGUCAAAUUAAUUCAUUUUAUUGUCAAAACUUAUCAUUUUUGACAGAUUUCACAUAUAAUCUUUUUGGCUACGUGCCCGGACUACCCACGCAAAUCGAGGUAACGAUAAAAGAGGUUUUUUAAACCAUUGGAAUGCAGAAUUCAUUUUAAAAAUAAGUGAUGACCUCUUGGGUCAUCACAAUAAUAACCAGACAUCACUCUUAGUAUAUGGUUAUCUUUCUAAUUUCUUAACAAUUUUGAUGGAUUAACCUUUAAAUUUCUAGGAUAAACCGGUUAAGUAAAACCCAAAAAUAACCACGAAUGGGUAUAUGUGUUUAACCGUGGCCAGGGUGAGGUUAAAGAAAAAAUAGUUAAGAAUAGAUUUAUUUCUCUACAAGAUUGGGAAGAAGAGAUGAACAUAGUGAAGUAAAAAAAAGUAUAGAAAAUUAUAGAAGGGGUAAUUUCGGUUCAUAAUUUAGAUAAUACUGUAACAAUACAGGUUUAUAGAAUAAGAGAGGGAGAGUACCGAGUAGGAUUUUUAUAAUAUAAGAGUUUAAUCACAAAAAAUAUUCUUAUUGUUAAUGUCUAUUAAUCGUUAUAAUUAUAGUAAUCUAGAAAUAUUUGCUAGAAGUCUUACCUAAAGUUUAGAAGAGUUUAAAUUAGACGUAGAAAUCGGAUUUUAUUCUAUAAUAGACUUAGCUGUACAUUUAAUAUACCUACAAUAAAAUAGUAGUAUUUGUUCAUAUAUAUAUAGAAAACAACUGCAUAUGAUAAUUUUAAUAUUAUCGUAUCAUCAAUCAUACCAUCUAAGAAGAAGAUUAUAAUUUUAAUAAAGACAAACCUUAUUAUCUAUAUCUAAGACUCUAUUUUAUAUCCAACCCUAUCUUAUAGAAAACAGAAGGGUAUAAUUUCUAAAAAGAAAAAUGAGAAAAUAGAAAACAUAAUUAAACAAACAUUAGAAAAUUUCUUUCAAGAAAAAGAAGAACAAGACAAACAUAUGAUUAAAAAUCCUAGUCCUAAUCCAAGUCCAAGUCCUAAUCCAAGUCCAGAAAGGUCUCAAAGCUCCGGGGAAGAUGAUAAUUACGAAGAUGAAAACCACCUAAAUUAUCAAGAUGCUCAAAAUCCAUACGAAGAUGAUUCAAGAAUGAGUUUUGAUUCAUUAGCUCUACAUAAUUUAGACACGUAAAAGGAAGCAAGGUCUCAGUCAAAAGCAAUUGAGAGCAGCAAAGACAAAGAAAGAGCAAUAAUUUUGGUAUCCCACUAGGCGUGCCAAUGCGAAAGACAAUUAAAGAAAAGAAGACGUGACAUAAAGAAGAAAAAAAAAUAAAGGAAAGAAGAUGUGACAAAAGGUAGUGUUAACCGAAACAACAAAUAAAUGACAAAGGGCCCCAGAAUAUCAUCACUUCUUUGUCUCACAACACAAUACGAUAACAAAAAUCAACAGCCAAGAAUAACCAUAAUACAACAUCUCCAUUUCGUGCAACCCGAUCCAUAUUUAUAUGUAUAUAUAAUNNNNNNNNNNNNNNNNNNNNNNGUGACCUUGCAUAUACAUUGUCCCUAGACAUAAAUCAUAUAGCAAAUAGACCAAUCAAGUCUUAAUUCCCUCAAGUCAAAGUUAACCAUAAUGCAUACCUCUUUCCGGAAGCAAAUUAAUAUUCAAACACCACUUUCCCUUUGGAACAAGCCUCCAACCCAAUUGAAUCUACUAAAAUAUUAUUCAAACACAUUAAAACAAGCUUUAGAAACUACCCCGUAUGAUAAAAAUCAAUCUUCACCAUAAUUGAAAUAGUCAACAAAAAGUCAAUACAUGCCCACGUAGUCGAAAUUCUAGAUUAAGACAAAAUUCCGAUUGCUCAUUCACCCUUGCACCCACACAUGUGAUUUGAUUCGAAAUCUGGCAUCAAUUCUAGUGUAAAUCUCAAUUUUACAAAAUCCAUAAAUUCUACCCAAAACCCCCAAUGACUGCUUUGAAAUUCAUAUAUUUGAUGAUGAAAUUCAUGAAAAGGUAAUUGAAAUCGAUUGAAAAGAAGUUAAAGUUACUAACCAAUGAAUUUGGGAAGAAAUUGCACUCCUAAAAUCGCAUCUAUGGAGUUUAGGAUUCAAAGAUAGUGUAAAAUGAGUUAAUUCCCGAAAUUCCGAACCUUAACCCAGCUGCAGAUGCUGCAAUUGUGAGCUUUUGCUCACAAUUGUGACCAUCGCAAAAGUGAACCACUGGUCACAAAUGCGAUCAGUGUAUGAGCUUGCCUAUUAUUGCAAGUGUGACAACUACCUCGCAUUCAUGAAACCCCUAGCCACAAUAAAUAGGGUGAAAGCUUCGCAACUGCAAAGCUGCCCAUGAACUCCCUAGUGUCACAAAUGUGAUAUAGUCAACGCAAAUGUGAACACCUUUGGGACACAAAUGCAGUUGUUGCUUCGCAAAAGUGAAGGUCACAACACCCAAACCCAUAUCGCAAAUAUGAGCCUUACAUAGCAAAUCUGAGGCUUGUAGUUGCAGACAGGUCUUCACGACUUUCCCUUCUUCCCGAACCUCAUCACACCCUUCAUAAGUGAAACCUAGAGCAAAACCCUCUCUCCAACCAUGAAUGCAACAUCACAAACUCUCUGAUCGGCAUAACUAUUCUACCUAGACUGCAUAGUACGUAGCCGAUCUUAAAUCAUCUUGACCUUUUGCAAGGUAUCCGAACCAAUUCAGUACCCAACAAUCAAGCCUCUCCUGGCUCAAACCAACCAACUGGAGAAUGAUACCGCCUCCCAUAUAAGGCCUCAUAAAGAGCCAUCUGAAUAUUUGAUUGGUAGUUAUUGUUGUAGGCAAACUCCGCAAGUGGCAAGAACCCCCAAAAUCCAUUACAUAGGUGCGAAGCAUAUCCUCCAAGAUUUGAAUGGUACGCUUGGACUGCCCGUUUGUAUUGGGGUGAAAUAUUGUACUCAACUCAACCCGUAUGCCUAAAUCAUGAUGUACGACCCUUUAAAAUUGCAAUGUGAACAGCAUGCCCUGAUAAAAAAUAAUGGACACAGGAACUCCAUGCAAACGAACAAUCUUGCAAAUAUAGAUCUCUUCCAGCCACUCUGAAGAAUAAGUAGCCACCACCGAAAUGAAAUGCACCAACUUGGUCAACCUAUCCGCAAUGACCCAUACUGCAUCAAAUUUCUUCAAAAUCUAUGGAGCCCAAGAAUGAAAUCUAUGAUAAUACACUCCCACUUCAACUUGAGAACCUUAAGUCUCUGAAACAAACCGCCAGGCCUCUGAUGCUCGUACUUCACCUGCUGGCAAUUCAAAUACUGAGACACAUACUCUACUAUACCUUUCUUCACUUUUAUCAACCAAUAAUGUUACCUCAAAUGCUGGUACAUCUUGGCGGCACCCAGAUGAAUGGAAUACCGCGAUCUGUAGGCCUCCUCAAGUAUCAACUCCUGCAGCCUAUCCAUAUUGGGCACACAAAUUCGAUCCUGUAUCCGCAACACCCCAUCAUCUCCAAUAGAAAUUUCAUUGGCAUCAUCAUGAUGCACCGUGUUCUUAAGAAGAAGCAAAUGGGGGUCGCCACACUGACGCUCUCUGAUGCACUCAUACAAAGAAGAUUGAGAGACUGUGCAAGCAAGAACCGGACUAGGCUCUGUAACAUCUAACCUUAUGAACUAAUUGGCCAAGCCCUGAACAUCUGAUGCUAGCAGUCUCUCACCAACUAGAAUAUAUGUGAGGCUACCUAUACCCACCGCCUUUAUACUAAAGGCAUUGGACACCACAUUAGCCUUCCCGGGAUGAUACAAAAUAGUGAUAUCAAGGUCUUUUAACAACUUUAACCACCUCCGAUGUCUCAAAUUUAGAACAUUUUUCUUGAACAAGUGUUGCAAAGCUGCCAAUAGAGGUAAUGCUUCUAUAUAAUUAAUGCAUGAACAAUACCUGCCAACUCUAAGUCAUGAACAGGGUAAUUCUUCUCAUGAACCUUUAAUUACCGAAAAGCGUAUGCAAUAACCCUCCAUCCUGCAUCAAUGCUACACCAAUAUCAAUACGUGAUGCAUCACAAUAUACAAUGUAGGAUCUCGAACCCGUAGGCAACACCAACAUCGGGGCUGUAGUCAAAGCAAUCAUGAGCUUCUGAAAGCUCAACUCACACUCAUUAGACCACAUGAAUGGGGCACCCUUCUGGUUCAAUCUAGUCAAUGGGGCUACAAUAGAUGAAAACCCCUCCACGAACCGGCGAUAAUAACCCACCAUACCCAUAAAGCUCCGAAUCUUUAUAGUUGAAGUAGGUCUAGGCGAGUUUUAAUUUGCCUCAAUCAUCUUAGGAUCCACUUUAAUGCCCUCGGAAGAUACCACAUUCCCCCCAAAAGGCAACCGAAUCCAACCAAAACUCACACUUUGAAAACUUGACAUAUAACUGACUAUCUCUCAAUGUCUGAAGUACAAUCCAAAGGUGCUGCUCAUGCUCCUUUUGACUGCGGGAGUAUACCGAAAUAACAUCAAUGAAGACGAUCAUAAAAGAAUCCAGAUAAGGCUUGAAUACCUGGUUCAUCAAAUCCAUUAAUGGAGUUGGGGCAUUUAUCAAGACAAAUGACAUCACUAAGAACUUAUAAUGCACAUACCGAGUCUGGAAGGCUGUCUUAGGGACAUCUGAUGCCGUAAUCUUCAACUGAUGGUAGCCAGAUCUCAAAUCAAUCUGGAAAAAUACUUUGGCACCCUAAAGCUGAACAAAUAAGUCAUCAAUCCUCGGUAAGAGAUACUUGUUCUUGAUAGUGACUUUGUUAAACUGCCGAAAAUAAAUACACAUCCUCAUCGUACUAUUCUUCUACUUCAUGAACAACAUUUGUACACCCUAGGGCGAGACAAUAGGUCUAAUGAAUAAUUUUUCAAGAAAAUCCUGCAACUGCCCCUUCAAUUCCUUCAACUCAGUGGGGGCAUACGGUAUGGUGGAAUAGAAAAGGGCUCAGUUCCCUGAGCCAAGUCAAUACAAAAGUUGAUAUCUCUAUCGGGUGGCAUCCCCAGCAUAUCUGAAGGAAACACCUCUUGAAACUCACACACAACUGGUACUAAAUCCAUGGAAUGAACCUCCACACUAGGUUCAUCAAUAUAUGCCAAAUAUGCUAGAGGUACAUUCUUAAUCAUAUGACGAGCCUUCAUAUAAGAAAUAACCCUGCUACUAGAAUGGCCUGGAGUCCCUUUCCACUAUAAUCGAGGCAACUCCAGCACGGCUAUGGUCACUCUCUUGGCAUGACGGUCAAUAUAGUAUGAUAAGGUGACAUCAAUCCAUUCCCAAGAUAAUAUCAAAGUCCAUAAUAUCAAGAAGUAGGAGAUCUACACUAGUCUCAAGGCUCCCAAUAGAAACCACAUGCGAGCAAUAAACACAAUCUAAAAUAAUAGAAUCUUCUUCAGGCGUGGAUACAUAUGUAGGAGCACUCAAAGAAUCAUAAGGCAUAACCAGAUAUAAAGCAAAAUAGGAUGACAGAAGGAAUAAAUAGAGCCCGGAUCAAUUAGAACUGAAGCAUCUCUAUGGCAAACUGGAAUAAUACAUAUGAUAACGGUGUCAAAUGACUCUGCCUCAGGUCUAACUGAAAAUGCAUAAAAAUGGGGUUGGUCCCUACCAUUCUAACCUUUUCCACUCAGACAGCCUCUCGCUGGCUGGCCUCCACCUCUAAUAGCCUGACCUCCACCUCUAGUAGCGUGACUCUUACCUCAAGCUGGAUGAGCGGGCGGUGAAGGAACCAAUGCCAGAAUCAUGGCACAAGAACCGUGUUGUGGCAUGCCACCCUAUAACCCAGGGCGAAAAGUAGCAACAUGCCUCAGACCUCCAUAAGUAUAACAAGCCCUCGGCUGCUGUGACUGUUGACCCUGGAAUUGUCCCUGUCGACCUUGAUAACCACUCUGACAACAUUGGAUCGGCGGUGCACUAAUAGGAGCUGAUGGUAAGUUGUAGGCUAGUUGCUCAGAAUGAGACCCAUAAGAACUAAGACUGCCCGAAGCACCAUGGGUUGCAUGAAGCACUGACAGAAUCAUCUUGAGAGGAUAGCCUCAACCAAAUAAACCUCAAGAUGAGGCACCACUGAAACCACUGAAUUGAUGAGGCCUUUUAUAAUAUACUACCCCUUAUCCUGACGACGAACCAUCUCGAUCCGUCUAGCAAUCUCUACGCCCCUCUGGAAAGAAAUAUAAUCUCCGAUCUCCUUGGCCAUCUGUAACCUAAUACUGAAUGUAAGUCUAUCAAUCUCCUCACUCUCUCCCUCUCAGUAGGGAGUAAGAUAACUGCAUGGAAAGCUAAGUCCACAAAUCGGGUCUCAUACUAGGUCACAGUCAUGCUACCCUGCUGGGGGCGCUCAAACUGUCUGCAGUACUUAUCUCUCAAAGUGAAAGGAAUAAACUUUCCAGAAAUAACUGCGAAAAUUGAUCCCAAGUGUGUGGCAGUGAACUAGCUGGUCAGCUCCAUACAUGAUCCUGCCACCAUCUCUUAGCCGAACCGGUCAUCUGAAACACCGCAAAGUCUACUCUAUUGGACUCAACAAUACCCAUGGUUCACAACACCUCGUAGCAAUGACCUAAGUAAUCUUGUGGCUCCUAGAAGGUGCACUACCGAAGUGAAUAGGGAAGAGAUUUGUUAACUUAUCCAACCUCAUAAAUCCCUUAGAAGACAUUGCGGACCUCUCCCAAGUCUGUGUAGCAAAAAUAGGCUGAACUACCCAACUGGAUGGACUGUUGGAGUCUUAUAUAUGGAAGCCAUCUGCUCCAGAGGGUGAGUAGCAGGAGUCUAUGCUCCUCUCCCAGCCUAAGAUUCAGCUGGUGCCACCGAAAAAUGCAUCAGUCUAUGCCACACUCUCCAUACAGCCCACUAAACGCACUAGAGCGUCCUAAAGCCGGGGAGUGGCUAUAAAUCCAUCUAGGACCUGAGCGGGUCCGACUGGUCCAGUUUGAGUUGGGAUCUCCUCCUCAUGAUCAAUUUGAGGCUCCACAGUAGGUGCUACUACAUGAGCUCUAGGAUGAGAUAUUCCUCUACCUCAGUCUCUGGCUCUACCUCAGCCCCGACCUCUACUCCUUUUAAUGGUUGCAGCAGGGGGCUCCGGUUCCUAUUCGGCUGUAGAUGUUGUGCAUUUUCUUACCAUCUACGAGAGAACAAGAAUGGAAUGAUUCAAACAUCAAUGAUAGAAUAAAAUCACACGAUAGGGAAAGAAAGAGGCUAAAUUUUCCUAAAACUCCAUAGCCUCUAGGAGAAAAAUACAGACGUCUCUGUACUGAUCCUUUAGACUCUACUAGUCUUGCUCAUGACUCGUGACAUCAAAGCAACCUAGUGCUCUGAUAUCAAUUUGUUACGAUCCGGAAUCCCAACCUCGGGGUCGUGAUGGAGCCUAACGUCCAUUUGCUAGGCAAACCAACAUUAGUUAAAUAAUUUAAUAAUUAAACAGUUUAAAAAAGAAUAAUAAUAAUUUUUAACAAAGAUUAAAGCUAAAAUACAUGAAAUAAACACAUAACAUAACGUGGUAUAACUCAACCCAAGAAGUCUGGUGUCACAGGCACAAGAGCAACUAGAAGUCUAUAAGUAUAGUUUGAAAUAAAUACAACUGUUCAAAUGAGAUAAACAGUAAAUAUAGGAAAUGUAAGGGGACUUCAAGGUGUGCGAACACCAGCAGAUCUACCUCAGAUCUCUGAAGCAAAGUGAUCCGAGGAGACACACCUCUAAGCACCAAUGGAACCAAUAGCAGCAUCUGCACAAGAAGUAUAGAAGUGUAUCAUGAGUACAACCGACCCAAUGUACUCCGUAAGUGUUGAGCCUAAACUCGGCGAGGUAGUGACGAGGCUAUGAUAAGACAUCUAUGUAUAAACCUUGUACAAAUAUAUAUAAAGUUGCAAAAUAACAAGUACAACGAUAAAAUAUUAACUGGGAGGGGACAUGCGAGAGGGGAAAUAUCAUAAAAAUGGCAAGUAAAAAAAUCACUAAAUAACAUCUUCCGAAAUAAGCAUUAAUAUAACCAAGUAAAUCAACAAAACCGGAAAUCAAAUAAGGCACUGAAAUGAAGAUGGUACGGCAUCACCCUUCAUGCUUUUACUCUUGUCUUCACCAUGUAAUAUCAUAAUGAAAUGGCAGGGCAUCACCCUUCGUGCUUUUACUCUCGUCUUCACCAUGUAAUAUCAUAAAUGAAAUGGCACGGCAUCACUCCUCCGUGCUUUUCACUCUUCCUCGCCAAAUCAACAAUACAAAUCUAAUAAUAAUAAUAAUAAUAAUAAAUAAAUAAAAGGCGAGAAAUAAUUUCACUUCAAUUAUAGUGCCAGAAUAUUCAAACUUAAUUUUCAAAAAUUUCCAACAUCUCCAAAAUAAACAAUAAAUAUGACACGAAUAAUUAAAAUUAAUAAUCCAACUUAAACAUGGAGAAACCAAGUCAAAUAAACAACUUAGAGCAAAGAAAUAAUUCUCACUUGCAUGCUUUAACCCAAUAACAAAUGCAUAUGUACUCGUCACUUUACAUAUAUGUCAUUCCCACGCACAAUUCACAUAGAAAAUAAACCACCAAUUCCUAAUCCCUCAAGUCAAGGUUAACCACAACACUUACCUCUCUACGCAACCAAAUAAAUGCCCAACCGUGGAUUUUCCUCUAGAAUUAGCCUCCAAACCAAUCAAAUCUAACCAAAUAUAGUUUAAUAACUCAAAUAGGCUUUAGAAACUACACAUGAGUGAAAAAAUUCAAUUUUUAGUAAUUUUGAAAAAAGUCAACGAAAAUCAACCCCGGGCCCGUUUGGUCAAAAUCCGAUAUUUGGACCAAAACCCAAUUAGACAUUAACCCCGAGCUCGAUGGGUGUUCAUGGAAAUGUAAGGAAACAAGUUAAAAUCUACUAAACUAUGAAGUGGGGAUAAAAAAAACUCUUCAAAAUCGCCUCCAGGUCGAGCUCAAACUUGGAAAUAGUUAAAAUUGGGGAAAACCCCAUUUUUUAGAAGUUUAAAUCACUGUGCAACAUGUGUUCUUUGCGUUCGAAGCACCUGAUGCGACUGUGAUAUACAGCGGCCCAAAUGGCCUUCGUGUUCGUGAGAUAACCUUCGCAUUCGUGAUGGCCUCACCCUCUUGGCCUUCGCGUUCGCGAUCCUAGGUUCACGUUCGCGAAGGGUAAACCCCCCCUCUGCUACUUUGUUCGCGAUCCAGUCCCCGUGUUCGCGAAGAAUAGGUUCCGUCCCAGCCCAGUUUCCCCUUCGCGAUCGCAAAGCACAUAGCAUCAAACACCAGCAAAUAGCUGAAACCAGUAACUUUAAGUCCAAAAAUGAUUUGUAGCCUAUCUGAAACUCACCCGAGCCCUUCGGGCUCCAAAUCAAACAUUCCCACAAGUGUAAUAACAUCAUAUGAACUUACUCGCGCGAUCAAAACACAAAAAUAACACCUAGAACUACGAAUUAGACAUCAAAAUGCAUGAAAUUUUCAAAGAAACUCAACAACAUCCAAAUUUACAACCGAGCGUCCGAAUCCUGCCAAACUAACUUUGUUUUGCACCAAAUUUUGAAGACAAGUUUUUAAUGGUAAAAUGGACCUAUACCAAUUUCCAGAACAAAAAUCCAAACCAAGUAGUCAUAAAGUCAAUCUACGGUCAAAUUUAGGAAAUAUUUAAACCUUCAAGUUGCUAGCUUUCGAUAAAUCAAGUCAAAUCAAGUGAGGGAUUUCCGAAUUCAAUUCCAGACAUACGACCCAGUCCAAAAUUACGAUGCUGACCCAACGAGAUCGUUAAAAUGCCGAUUCUGGAUCAUUUACACAAAAUAUUGACUGUAGUCAACUCAAGUUAUUUUUAAAAUCAAAAAUCAUGUUUCUUCAAAUUUUCACAUAAAAUAUUUUUGAAAAAUAGACACAGGCUGCGCACACAAAUCGAAAAAUAUUAAAUGUAGCUAAUAGAAGUCUCGGAACACAAAAAUAAGGGCUAGAAUUCAAAACGAUCUAUUGGAUCGUCACAAAAUCUCCAACAACAAAAGAAUGGUACUUGUACAAAUUCUUUAACAAAAAGUCCAAAUUUACCCCCUCAACUUUUGGUUAUUGUUUACCUUAAAAAUGGUACUAACAAUUAUAUUUGAUUUUGUGAUUCUAAAAAUAUUUGAUUUAUUUUAGUACUAGUUGUUAGGAAAUAGAUGAUAAGCGUAAGUAAAGAGAAUAAGAUAUGCAAAUGAAUGAUGUCGCAAGACUGGGCCUCGACCUGGCUGGAACAUGGGGCCUCGAGGUCUAGUUACGACAGUUAGCAAUGAACAAUUGAAGGGGAAACAAUGAUAUCGAAGGCCUCGAAGAUAGCUUUUUGCUGCUAAUAAUGGGCAAUAAAUGAACAAGCAAUAAAUCUGUAGAGCAAUUGUUGAGCACGUUUAGGCAAGAAAAGCAGAGAAUGUUCUAUUGUAUUCAAUAUUCAUGUGUUAUAAAAUAACAGGAGUCCCCUUUAUAUAGGAGGGGAGGAAUCCCAACAUACUACAUGUCUAAUAAUGACGAGGAAAUGCUAUUGGUACAGCUGUAUAAUGGCUCGGUACAGAUUUGUACUAUUCUUGCUGACCUGGUCUGCUCUAACCACGUGUCCUUGGGAGUUUUCCCGCCUUUCCAUAACGAUCAUCGAUUUGUACUUCUCCGAGAUUGACCACAGUGAACCUUCAAUAUGCUCCCUCGAGGGACUCACCUCGAGGUCACACAUCAAAUUCUGCUUCGAGCUUCUCGAGGUCGGGCGUGGAGUGCCACAAUAACCCUAAAGUCGAACUCCCCGAUGUUGGCUGUAUACAAUUAUGAUUAAAAAAGUUCCACCAAGAUUGGAGCUCCUCUAGGGGGCCAAGGGCAAACCUUUUUGCUAAUGGGAAAAAAAUAUUAGACCAAGAGUUUGUAAUAGCUACUCAAUUUCAAUUUACAAAGGGGAAAAUUUAACUGUUUUGCCCUUAUAUCUUUUGGUCCCGAAACAUAAAAUAUCCCAUCCGAAAUUCCAAAUGGUCCAUUAUCGGCAAGUAGCUUUCUUUUAUUAUAGUUAGUUGACAAAACACUAUCGAGAUAUCAUUAGUAUAAUAAUAACUUCAAAGUCCAUCUUCUUAGCUGCCUCCUCAUUAGAGCCGCCACUAAAAUAAGACCGAUCAAAUAAAAGCCGCCAUUAAAAUAAUGAAUUUUAGGACUCUCAAUUGUCACGUAAGUGCCAAAACUCUUCCAAUACUUUGCUGCAACUUGGGGCUGCUAGCUUCUGAGCUUCCUGGGAUAUUUCUAUGUUUAUCUCUUAAUUUACAUCUCAACUAAUAUCAAGAAAUUAAACAGGUGCAGCAAAUCAUAAAAUUUUCCUCUAAAGAAGAAAAUGACUCCGGUUACUGAUUCAUUGGCCUUUUCAGAGUCUGCGUGCCAUAUUCACUAAUGGGUCGUUUGGUACAAGAAAUAAUGAUAAUAAUUUCGAAAUAGAAUUUGGGAUUUCAUUUAUUUCAUAUUUAAUUAUAAAUAUUAGCUAAUUUCGAAAUAAAUUUUACAUUAAAAUAGUGAAAUCAACUAUCUCAUAUAUAAGGUGGAAUAGCUAAUCUCAUAGCCACCUCAGUUAGAAUCCAGUUUCCUCUAAUAAAUGCAGCGAAAUAUUAGAAGACUUUCAUUAAAUCAAUUCAUAUAAUUUAAAAAUACUAGACAUGGAAAAAAAAAACGAUUCGAGACUGUUAUGGAAGGCGUUGCCUUCGAUGUAGAUUCUCAUCCAUUGCUUUCGUGCAAUAGCAAUAUGACAUCUUAUUCUUAGAACUACUUUUAAAUGAAAGUCAUAUAGAACUUUAAAAUCUCUCAACUAGUUUUAAGGGAAUUCAAAAUACGACCAAUAUUUAUUACUUACUUAUGGAUAAAUUUAAAUAAUAUGUAUUUUAUCUUGAAAUUGAAUUGAAAAUAUUAAAUUACUUGGUUUAAUAUAAACAAUAGAUAUCGUUAAGUAUUUACCACAAACAUUUUAUUAGUUGUAACGAUGAUUAAGCAGGAAUUCCUCUGGUUGUGCAGGAUGAAAGAAACUAACUAGCUAUAAUUUCUUUUGUAAAGUCAAGAUAGUACGGCACCUUAUGGAGAAAAUAAAUAACUUUACAUCAUCAAACUCAUCUUCUUUUUUCCACAAAAUGAUCAAGUUGACAUGUUAAUAGCCAGGUCACCGGGGGCGGCUCUUAACUUCAUUAGCCUACGAAUAACAAAUCCAAUAUUAUAUUUACACAAGGCUAUAUAUAUAUCUCAAUAUAAAUAGCUCGUUGUUCAUCUUAAUUCUCCCAACAAGUCUUCCCAUCAUGUCUACCUCACAUAAACAUAAUACUCCUCAAAUGGCUGCUAUCACACUCCUAGGAUUACUACUUGUUGCCAGCAGCAUUGACAUAGCAGGUUUCUGGUCAAAUAUUUGAACUUCCCAGCCAAAAAUAUUGUCUUAUAAUUUUGUGUGCGCAAAAUUUUAAUUUAGUUGAUAGUUAUUUGCUUAUUUUUCUUUUCAAAUUGCUUGUGUUUUUUUCUCAAAUUAACUUGCACCGUAUUCAUUUAGCGAUAGUUAUUUGCUCUAUUUUUGUGUAACACUCACUCACAAACUUUUCAAUUUGAGGGGAGGACAGUGAAUCUAAGAUUGAAAUUUAUGAGUUUAAUUAGACUAAUUCCCAUUUGAUUUAUUGGCUAGAAGUCAAUUAUUUGCAUAGUGAGUCUUUUAACACACAGAUUUGAGUUAAAGCUACUACGUUCGUAUUAACCCAUAACAUAUACACCUUCUGUUCUAAUUUCUUUGACACUUUUUGUUAGUUUGUUCCAAAAAGGACGGACAUAUUUGAUAUUUGAGAAUACUUUACCUUAACCUUAAUAGAAUUUUUUAUGACAUCACAUAUAUUAUGGAAUAUAUACGACCAUAAUUUUCAAAUAUCUUAUAGUCGUACAAAUAUUAUAGCAUGUUUAAUACCACAACUUUCAAAUUCUUCUUUUCCUUAAAAACAAAAUAUGUCACAUAAAUUAAAAUAGAGGAAGUAUACUACAUCAAUCAGCCCCUAGUGGAGGGGACCUACUGUAAGUUUUUAAGUUUUCAAGAAUUCAGUAAUUGAUUAGGAGCCCGUCUGGACAUAAAAAAAAAUUCCUUUUUUUCCAAAAAAUGCCCACUAAAUUUCUAACACUAUUUUGUAAUUCUUAUUGAGCAGGGGCUCAAUCGAUAGGUGUUUGCUAUGGAAUGCUAGGCAACAACUUGCCAAAUCAUUGGGAAGUUAUACAGCUCUACAAGUCAAGAAACAUAGGAAGACUGAGGCUUUAUGAUCCAAAUCAUGGAGCUUUACAAGCAUUAAAAGGCUCAAAUAUUGAAGUUAUGUUAGGACUUCCCAAUUCAGAUGUGAAGCACAUUGCUUCCGGAAUGGAACAUGCAAGAUGGUGGGUACAGAAAAAUGUUAAAGAUUUCUGGCCAGAUGUUAAGAUUAAGUAUAUUGCUGUUGGGAAUGAAAUCAGCCCUGUCACUGGCACAUCUUACCUAACCUCAUUUCUUACUCCUGCUAUGGUAAAUAUUUACAAAGCAAUUGGUGAAGCUGGUUUGGGAAACAACAUCAAGGUCUCAACUUCUGUAGACAUGACCUUGAUUGGAAACUCUUAUCCACCAUCACAGGGUUCGUUUAGGAACGAUGCUAGGUGGUUUGUUGAUCCCAUUGUUGGCUUCUUAAGGGACACACGUGCACCUUUACUCGUUAACAUUUACCCCUAUUUCAGUUAUUCUGGUAAUCCAGGCCAGAUUUCUCUCCCCUAUUCUCUUUUUACAGCACCAAAUGUGGUGGUACAAGAUGGUUCCCGCCAAUAUAGGAACUUAUUUGAUGCAAUGCUGGAUUCUGUGUAUGCUGCCCUCGAGCGAUCAGGAGGGGCAUCUGUAGGGAUUGUUGUGUCCGAGAGUGGCUGGCCAUCUGCUGGUGCAUUUGGAGCCACAUAUGACAAUGCAGCAACUUACUUGAGGAACUUAAUUCAACACGCUAAAGAGGGUAGCCCAAGAAAGCCUGGACCUAUUGAGACCUAUAUAUUUGCCAUGUUUGAUGAGAACAACAAGAACCCUGAACUGGAGAAACAUUUUGGAUUGUUUUCCCCCAACAAGCAGCCCAAAUAUAAUAUCAACUUUGGGGUCUCUGGUGGAGUUUGGGACAGUUCAGUUGAAACUAAUGCUACUGCUUCUCUCGUAAGUGAGAUGUGAGCUGAUGAGACACUUGAAAUCUCUUUACAUACGUAUUCCUUGGAUGGAAAACCUAGUAAAAACAAGAGAAAUUUUUUCUUUAUGCAAGAUACUAAAUAACAUUGCAUGUCUCUGUAAGUCCUCAUGGAUUGUUAUCCAGUGACGAUGCAACUCUGAGUGGUUUUAAAUUCCUUUUCUUUGUGAUAUUGGUAAUUUGGCAAGAAACUUUCUGUAAGUUUGUGAAUUUCAUGCAUCAUUAAUUAUACAUCAGUUCCAUGUUUGAUCAGAUUGGGAUUUGG